CCCCCCCCCCGCCUCCAUCGGCCUUCCCUCCUCUAACUCCUUCCCUUGCCGCUGUCGGAGGCCAUAAUCGAGCGAAGCUCGUGUGGUUGUGGCGGUGUGGUCUCUCCUCGUGGCACAGGCCGUGUGUGGUCCUGCGGCUCGACACGCGGUGCCUCUCCGGUUGGCGUGGCUGUUGGCUGCUCUCCCAAUGGUGGAAGAUCUGGGCUGGGGCUCUUACAACGUCGCCCACCCGUGAUUCCUCCUCCUCACCUUUGCGACUCUGUUCCUCCCCGCUGUCGUCGCUCUCGUGGCUUGCUGGAUGCCCCCUGGUUGUAAAUUCUGGUAGGGGCCCUCUCAGGAGCGCCUUCCCGUGGCUCUUCCUCGCCUCCGCAAGUCCCUCGUCGCCAUUGUCACCGGUGGUCGCUGGUGCGAUGCGUCCAUCCCCCUUCCCUGUGCUCCACCUCGUCCAGCUACUCCCCAUUCCGUUGUUGGGGAACGUCGCAUGGGAAACAAAAAAAUUCCUACGCGCACGAAGACCUAUCAUGGUGAUGUCCAUCUACGAGAGGAGAUUUGGAUCUACGUACCCUUGUAGAUCGCACAACACGAAGCGUUAAGAAACGCGGUUGAUGUAGUGGAACGUCCUCACGUCCCUCGAUCCGCCCCGCGAACCGUCCCACGAACCGUCCCGCGAUCCGUCCCACGAUCCGCUCCAAUCUAGUGCCGAAUGGACGGCACCUCCGCGUUCAGCACACGUACAGCUCGACGAUGAUCACGGCCUUCUUGAUCCAGCAAGCAAGACGGAGAAGUAGAUGAGUUCUCCGGCAGUGUGACGGCGCUCUAGCGGUGAUGAAGGAUGUACUCCUGCAGGGCUCCGCCCGAGCUCCGCAGAAAUACGAUCUAGAGGAAAAACCGUGAUGAUUUGUGGUCGGGUUGCCGUGGCAAAGUGUUGGGGAACGUCGCAUGGGAAACAAAAAAAUUCCUACGCGCACGAAGACCUAUCAUGGUGAUGUCCAUCUACGAGAGGGGAUGAGUGAUCUACGUACCCUUGUAGAUCGUACAGCAGAAGCNNNNNNNNNNNNNNNNNNNNNNNNNNNNNNNNNNNNNNNNNNNNNNNNNNNNNNNNNNNNNNNNNNNNNNNNNNNNNNNNNNNNNNNNNNNNNNNNNNNNUAACAGCAUGAAACCAUCCAAAAUUAUAGAUACGUUUGAGACGUAUCAAGCAUCCCCAAGCUUAACUCCUGCUCGUCCUCGAGUAGGGAAGUGAUAAAGAAUGAAUUUUUGAUGCUUUCAUGCUACCUAGCAUAGAUAUCCUUUGUAACUCCUCUUAUGUGAUGUGAAUGUUCAGAUCCAUUAGAUUCAAAACAAUAGUUUGCUAUUGACGUGGAGACAAUAAUAAUUCAAGCAAACUAGCAAGGUAAUCAUGAACUUUCAAAAUAACAAGGCCAAAAGAAAGUUAUCCCUACAAGAUCAUAUAGUCUUGCUAUGCUCUAUCAUCAUUGCACAACGAAUUUAAAUCAUGCACAACCCCGGUAUUGGCCAAGUAAUUGUUUUCACACCUUUACUUUCUCAAACUUUUUCAACUCUCACGCAAUACAUGAGCGUGAGCCAUGGUUUUAGCACUAUAAGUGGUGUGGAGUGUGGUGGAGGUUGCUAGACAAACAAGGAGAAGAUGGUCACAUUAACUAGGCAUAUCAAUGAGCUGUGGAGAUGCUCAUCAAUAGAUAUCAAUGUGAGUGAGUAGGGAUUGACAUACAAAUGAUGCACUAGAGGUAAGAGUAUGUGAAAGCUCUUAAAGAAAACUAGUGGGUGUGCAUCCAACUUGCUUGCUCACGAAGACCUAAGGCAAAUUUGAGGAAGCCUAUCAUUGGAAUAUACAAGCCAAGUUAUAUAAUGAAAAUUUCCCACUAGCUAUAUGGUGGUAACAAAACGGGAGACUCUCAAUCAUGAAGAUCAUGGUGCUUAAUAAGCACAAGUGUGGAAGGAUAGUAGCAUUGUCCCUUCUCUCUUUUUCUCUCAUUUUUUUGGUGGGCUCUUUGGCCUCUUUUUUUUGGUGGGCAUCUUUGGCCUCUUUUGGUAUAUGGGCUUCGCUGGCCUCUUUUAUUUCCUCACAUGGGAAAAUGCUCCAUCAAUGAUGAUCAUCACACUUACAACUCAAAACUUAGAGCAACGAUGACUCUAUAUGGAAUGCCUUCGGUAGUGUAUCGUGACAAUGAUAUAGCAUGGCAUAGACAUUAAUGGAAACAUCAUGCUAGAUAUCUUAAGAUCAUGCAAUGGCAAUGUGGAAGUGGUGGCACAUGUCAUGGUGGUAAUCGUAUGGCAAUAUAUCUCAGAAUGACUUUGAAAAAUCUAUAGUAGGUAGGUAUGGUGGCUGUUUUGAGGGAGGCUAAUGGUUGGUUUUGUGCACCGGCGAAAGUUGCAUGACACUAAGAAGAUAGUGAUGGUGGAAGGUGAAAGUGCAUCUAAACCAUGGACUCAACAUUAGUCAUGAAGAACUCAUAUACUUGUUGCAAAAGUUUUAGUAGUAAUCGAAACAAAGCAUUCAACGCAUACUCCUAGGGGAAGGGUUGGUAGGUAUAAACCAUCGCGCGAUCCCGACCGCCACACAAAGGAUGACAAUCAAUAGACUAAUCAUGCUCAGAUUUCAUCACAUAGCGGUUCACCAUACGUGCAUGCUACGGGAAUCACUAACUUCAACACAAGUAUUUCUAGAUCCACAAACCUUACUAAUAUAACUUCAAUAUUACCAUAACCACAACUCAAAACUAAUUGAGAUGAAUCAAACUUCUCUAACUAUUCAAUGCACAUGAAGGUGUAAGUUUUCAUAUCCCUUUGGAUAACUACCCCUUUUGAGACUACUUUCAAAGCAUAGAUCAACUACCAAGCCACGCACCGCCGUGCUCUAAAAGAUAUAAGUGAAGCACAUAUGAGCUGAAUUGUCUAACCAAAGGAUAUAAGUGAAGCUCGACAAAAUCACGGUGAGUGCAUGUAUCUCUCUCUAGGUGUGCAGCAAGGAUGAUUGUGACACAACAAAAAUAAAAGACACCUACGAUACAAGACGCUCCAAGCAAAACACAUAACAUGUGGUGAAUAAAAAUAUAGCCCCAAGUAACGUUACCGAUGGAUUGAAGACGAAAGAGGGGAUGCCUUUCCGGGGCAUCCCCAAGAUUAGGCUUUUACGGCAUCCUUGAAUCAUCUUGGGGUGCCUUGGGCAACCCCAAGCUUGAGCUCUUGCCACUCUUUAUCUUUUUGUCCAUAAGAACUUCACCCAAAACUUGAAAACUUCACAACACGAAACUUAAACAGAAACUCGUGAUAACACUACUAUAAGAAAGCAAACCACCACUUCCAUAGGUAUUGUAGAAAACUUAAAUUCUACUUAUGUUGAUGUUGGGUUACUGUAUUUUCAAUCUUCCAUGGCUAAUACCCCCCGAUACUAUCCAUAGUUUCAUCAAAAUAAGCAACCAACACAACAAAAACAGAAUCUGUUAACAGCAGACCAGUCUGNNNNNNNNNNNNNNNNNNNNNNNNNNNNNNNNNNNNNNNNNNNNNNNNNNNNNNNNNNNNNNNNNNNNNNNNNNNNNNNNNNNNNNNNNNNNNNNNNNNNGAUUACAUCGGAUAGAUCUCCAUGAAGAUCAUGGAGAACUUUGUAUUGAAGAUCCAAGAGAGAGAAGAAGCCAUCUAGCUACUAACUACGGACCCCUAGGUCUGAAUUAGACUACUCAUGAGUCAUUGGAGAGGCGAUGAUGUUGAUGUAGAAGCCCUCCAACUCCAAAGUCCCCUCCGGCAGGGCAUCGGGAAGGGUCUCCAGAUGAGAUCUUGCGGAAACGGAAGCUUGAAGCGGCGGAAAAGUGUUUUCGUGGAUGCCCUCGUUUUUUCUGGAUUUUUGGGAAUAUAUAGGCGAAAGAGCUAGGGCAGGGGGGCUCCAGGGAGGCCACAAGCCUGGUAGCCGCCGCCCCCUGGUGGCGGCUACAGGGCUUGUGGCCUCCCUGUGGCUCUCCUUCCUUGGCCCUCAAGUCCCGUGAUCUUCUUCCGUUCUGGAAAAAUUUAUUUCGGGGAUUUUAUUCCGUUUGGACUCUGUUCCAAAAUCAGAUCUGAAAAGAGUCAAAAACACAGAAAAAACAGGAACUGGCACUUGGCACUGAAUUAAUAAGUUAGUCCCAAAAAAGAUAUAAAAGGUACAUAAAACAUCCAAAGUUGACAAGAUAACAGCAUGAAACCAUCAAAAAUUAUAGAUNNNNNNNNNNNNNNNNNNNNNNNNNNNNNNNNNNNNNNNNNNNNNNNNNNNNNNNNNNNNNNNNNNNNNNNNNNNNNNNNNNNNNNNNNNNNNNNNNNNNAGGGCAUAUUUCCAACAGUCUCCCACUUGCACUAGAGUCAAUAAUCUAGUUCACAUCACCAUGUGAUUCCAACGAAUCCAACACCCAUAUAGUUAUGGGGUCUGAUCAUGUCUUGCUUGUGAGAGAGGUUUUAGUCAACGGUUCUGAAACUUUCAGAUCCGUGCGUUCUUUACAAAUCUUUAUGUCAUCUUAUAGAUGCUGCUACUACGUGCUAUUCGGAAAUGCUCCAAAUAUCCACUCUACUAUAUGAAUCCGUUUCACUACUCAUAGUUAUUCAGAUUAGUGUCAAAGCUUGCAUCGACGUUACCCUUUACGACGAACUCUUUAACCACCUCCAUAAUCGAGAAAAAUUCCUUAGUCCAUUUGUUACUAAGGAUAAAUUUUGACCGCUGCUAGUGAUUCAAACAUGGAUCACUCUCUGUACCUCUCAACAUACUUUGAGUCAAGGCACACUUCAGGUGCGGUACACAGCAUGGCAUACUUUAGAUUCUACGGCUAAGGCAUAGAAGACGACCUUCAUCUAUUCUCUUUAUUCUGCCGUGGUCGGGUUUUGAGUCUUACUCAAAUUCACACCUCACAACGCAACCAAGAACUCCUUCUUUGCUGGUCUAUUUUGAACUCUUUCAAAAACUUGUCAAGGCAUGCAUCUUGUUGAAACUUCUAUUAAGCGCUUUCGAUCUAUCUCCAUAGAUCUUUGAUGCUCAACCUUCAAGUAGCAUAAUCCAGGUACUCCUUUGAAAACUUCUUUCAAACAACCUUGUAUGCUUUACAGAAAUUCUACAUUACUUCUGAUCCACAAUAUGUCAACCACAUAUACCUAUCAGAAAUUCUAUAGUGCUCCCACUCACUUCUUUGGAAAUACAAGUUUCUCAUAAACCUUGUACACACCCAAAAUCUUUGAUCAUCUCAUCAAAGUGCUUAUUCCAACUCCGAGAUGCUUGCACCAGUCCAUUGAAGGAUCACUGGAGCUUGCAUACUUGCUAGUAUCUUUAGGAUCGACAAAACCUUCUGGUUGUAUCACAUACAAUGUUUGCUCAAGGAAACCGUCGAGGAAACUAUGUUUUGACAUCCUACGUGCAAUAUUUCAUAAAUAAUGCAGCAACUACUAACAUAAUUCUAAUAGACCUUUAGCAUCGCUACGAGUGAGAAAGACUCAUCAUAGUCAACUGUUUGAUCUUGUCGAAAACAUCUUUGCGACAAGUCGAGCUUUUCUUAAUAGUGACUUAUCACCAUCAUCGUCUGUCUUCUUUUAAUGAUCCAUUUUACCCAAUAGUCCCAUGACCAUCAAGUAGUUCUACCAAAGUCUAUACUUUGUUUUCACACAUGGAUCCUCUCUCGGAUUUUAUGGCUUCCAGCCAUUUGUCGGAAUCUGGGCCCACCAUCGCUUUCUCCAUAACUCGUAGGUUCACUGUUGCUCAACAACAUGACCUCCAAGACAGGGUUACCGUACUACUCUGCAGCAGUACGCGACCUUGUCGACCUACGAGGUUUGUAGUAACUUGAUUCGAAGCUUAAUGAUCACCAUCAUCAGCUUCCACUUCAAUUGGUGUAGGCGCCACAGGAACAACUUCCUACGCCCUGCUACACACUGGUUGAAGUGAUGGUUCAAUAACCUCAUCAAGUUCUACUACCCUCCCACUCAAUUCUUUCGAGAGAAACCUUUUCUCGAGAAAGGAUCCGUUUCUAGAAACAAACACUUUGCUUUCGGAUCUGAGAUAGGAGAUGUACCCAACUGUUUUGGAUAUCCUGUGAAGAUGCAUUUAUCCGCUUUGGGUUCGAGCUUAUCAGACUGAAACUUUUUCACAUAAGUUUCGAAGCCCCAAACUUUCAAGAAACGACAGUUUAGAUUUCUCUAAACCUCAGUCUAUACUGUGUCAUCUCAACGGAAAUACGCGGUGCCCCAUUUAAAGUGAAUGUGGUUGUCUCUAAUGCAUAACCCAUAAACGAUAGUGGUAAUUCGAUAAGAGACAUCCCAGCAUGCACCAUACUAAAUAGUGCGUGGCUAUGACGUUCAGACACAUCAUCACACCAUGAUGUUCCAGGUGGCAUGAACUGUGAAACAAUUUUCACAUUGUCUUAACUGUGUACCAAAAAUUCGUAACUCAGAUAUUCAUUUCUAUGAUCAUAUCGUAGACAGUUCAUCCUCUUGUUACGACGAACUUCACUCUGAAACAGAAUUGAACUUUUCAAUAUUUCAGACUUGUGAUUCAUUAAGUAAAUACUCCUGUAUCUACUCAAGUCGUCAGUGAAGUAAGAACAUAAUGAUAUCCACUGCGUGCCUCAACACUCACUGGACUGCAUACAUCAAAAUGUAUCACUUCCAACAAGUUACUAUCUUGUUUCAUCUCAAUGAAAACAAGGCCUUGCUCAUGUGGUAUGAUUUGCAUGUCACUAGUGAUUCGAAAUCAGGUGAGUAAAGAUCCAUCAGCAUGGAGCCUCUUCAUGCAAUUUAUACUAACAUGACUCAAGCGGCAGUGCCACAAGUAAGUGGUACUAUCAUCAUUUAACUCGUAUCUUUUGGCACCAAUGUGUAACACUACAAUCGAGAUUCAAUAAACCAUUGAAGGUGAUCAUUCAAGCAAAUAGAGUAACCAUUAUUCCUUUUGAAUGAAUAAUCGUAUUGCAAUAAACACGAUCCAAUCAUGUUCAUGCUUAACGCAAGCACCAAAUAACAAUUAUUUAGGUUCAACACCAAUCCCGAUGGUAAAGGGGGCGUGUGACGUUUGAUCAUAUCAACCUUGGAAACACUUCCAACACGUAUCGUCACCUCGCCUUUAGCUAGUCUCCGUUUAUGCCGUAGCUUUCAUUUCGCGUUACUAAUCACUUAGCAACCGAACCAGUAUCCAAUACCCUCGUGCUACUAGGAGUACUAGUAAAGUACACAUCAACAUUAUGUAUAUCAAAUAUACUUCUCUCGACUUUUGCCAGCCUUCUUAUCUACCAAGUAUCUAGAGUUGCUCCGCCUCAGUGACUGUUCCCCUUAUUACAGAAGCACUUAGUCUCGGGUUUGGGUUUAAUCUUGGGUCUCUUCAUUAGUGCAGCAACUGUUUUGCCGUUUCACGAAGUAUCCCUUCUAGCCCUCGCCUUUCUUGAAACUUAGUGGUUUUUCAAACCAUCAACUAUUGAUGCUCCUUCUUGAUUUCUACUUUCGCAGUGUCAAACGUCGCGAAUCUCUCAAAGAUCAUUGUAUCUAUCCUUGAUAUGUUAUAGUUCAUCACGAAGCUCUCAAAGCUUGGUGGCAGUGACUUUUGGAGAACCAUCACUAUCUCAUCUGGAAGAUUAGCUCCCACUUGAUUCAAGUGAUUGUCGUACUCAGACAAUCUGAGCACAUGCUCAACGAUUGAGCUUUUCUCCUUUACUUUGUGGUCAAAGAAUUUUGUUGGAGGUCUCGUACCUCUUAACAAGGGCACAAGCAUGAAAUCACAAUUUGAUCUCUUUAGAACAUCACUUAUGUUCCGUGACGUUUAAAACGUUUUCGGUGCCUUGCUUCUAAGCCAUUAAGUACUUUGCACUGAACUAUCGUGUAGUCAUCAGAAACGUGUAUGUCGGAUGUUCACAGCAUCCACAGACGACGCUCCUUUCCAGCACAGUGGNNNNNNNNNNNNNNNNNNNNNNNNNNNNNNNNNNNNNNNNNNNNNNNNNNNNNNNNNNNNNNNNNNNNNNNNNNNNNNNNNNNNNNNNNNNNNNNNNNNNAACAAGGGGGUGGGUGCCUACCACAUGAUACUACAGCAAGAUUCCAAAAUUUCCAAGUAUCUACUUUGCAUGCAAUUGGGUGAAGAAAGGUAGAACUACAAUGCAUAUAAAAACAUAGGUAAUAAUAUGAUCAACGUGACUUGCCUAGUAUUACUUGAUGAAGAUAUUCGCUCUCAUAAUCCUGAUAAUUCUACUCGUCACGCUCCGGGCAAUCUAUCGUAAAUGAAAUAGCAUUCAAUAAACAUUCAUGCCAAAAGGAAGAACAAAAAAGAACAUAAGAACAAAACAUGUCUUGGUGCAAAAUAACAACAUACCAAGAUUUAAUAAGAAAAGAUAGGGCCUUACGGUGUUGUAAAAGGAAAGGUGAAAGGAGUCAACUCAAAAGAGUCAAAGGAUGAUCAACUAUCGCUAUAUAAGCUCGACUUGCAUACACUAUGGGAGAUGAUCAAAAGUAUUGAGAGAACAACAUGAAUGUUGUUUGACAAAUAGUAUAAUACAUAAGAAUUUAUUUGUAGAAAGAAUUUCCCGAAAUGGAGCACUACAACGCAAGUUAUAGCGAAUUGAAGUAUGAAUAGAAUUUGAAUUCCAUAAAGUUCAAAAUUAUUUGAAUUGGAGCAUGGUUGUUAUGAAUAUAAACUACAUAACACUAGUGUUUAGGGGCAAAAGAAAUCAAUGGAAAAGGUGCUACUGUUUGCAAGGUAAGAUCAAAUGAAUGUUCAAAUACAAAUUUGAAUCGCUCAAAUUUGUAAGGUUCCAAGGUCGAAACUAAUGAUGCUACUGGAUAUAGGAGAUCAAUAUGAACAUGUAGAAAAAAGAUUUACUAGAUUUGAAAUAGCGGAUCAAAAGAUACAAAUACUUCAAUAUUACAUUGAAUCGGCUUAGAACGAUGUGAACACUUUUGGGCACUAAUAGAUAAAUAUGAUUUGAUCAAAAUUAUAAGUUGAAAAAUUAAAACUAAUGAUACAAACGGGAAGAUUCCUUUGAUACGAAUCCGACGCAAGUGGAUUCAUCUAAAACGGAGCUACGGAUAAAAAGAUAUGAUCAAAAGAAGUUUGAAUAUGAGUGUGAACAAAUUUCGAAUUUUGAAAAUUUCGAAAAGCUGAUAUGAUAGGUUCACUGGAUAGGUGGGAUCAAGACGAAACUCUAGGCGUUGGUUUCAUCUAAUUCAGAUAAACGAGUAAAAAGUUAUGGCUAUUUGAAAAAUCAGGGCCAAGCUGUUUUACGGAAGAAAUAUGCUAUGUCUAAAAGAAUUAUAGGACUAAUGUGUAAAUACAGACACUAAUUGAUAUAUCUAAUUACUCUACCGUAUACUAUUGUAGAAAUACUAGUCUAGAAAUAAUAAAAUACGGGAGUAUAAAAAAAUACGAAGUGAAAUAACUUUAGAAUGCAGAGUAAGAAUUAAUUUCAAUGAGGAUACGACUUCGAGAAAUCCCACCGAAGAGAAAAGAAUAUUUUUAUUUAAUAAACCUUGUCAAACCAAAAGAUUGAUUUAACCCGAAAUAGAUGAUUUUUGGAUGCUCCUAUGGGUCUAUAUUUAUAGGUGGGAAGAAGGUCUAAAGGUCAAUAGCUAUGUAAUGUGGGACUAAACAUAUACGUAAAGAGGAGAAAAAGAGAGAGAGGACCACAUGGGCUAAGAGAAAUUCGGCCGGCCGCAUGGGCUGUUAAGGCGAGCCAUGGGCUUUGUUUUUCUUUUUUUGUUUUUUUUUGCGGACGAACAGUUUAAAAAAACAAUGAAGAAAAACGUAUAAACGAAAUAGAGAGACCAUUUAUAUAGGCAUAUUAUAUAUCAAAAUUUUCAGAAUGAAAUUUCCUACAACAUGGACAUUUUACUUUUCACAAAAUAAAAACUUUGUAAAAAUUUAUUCUUUUAAAAUUCAAUAAAAUUCAAAUUUUGUCUUUAAAAUUUUUGGCACUAUUUUUCUUGUGACUUUUGUUUUUUGGGGGGGUGUCAUGUUACCUCCUCUCUUUCUUGCUUGGCAAGUAUAUUGUCAGGAAAAAAAAUUGUGCUUGAAAUCUUGUGCCAAAAAUAAAAUUCAAAUAAAAAACCAAAGGAAAAAUCAAAUGCCACAUUCAUUCAAAUUCUUUAUAGUUGAAGAAGUCAUGUUAUCUUCUCUCACUGAUUUUAAAUGNNNNNNNNNNNNNNNNNNNNNNNNNNNNNNNNNNNNNNNNNNNNNNNNNNNNNNNNNNNNNNNNNNNNNNNNNNNNNNNNNNNNNNNNNNNNNNNNNNNNCAUAAUUCCAACAGUCUCCCACUUGCACUAGAGUCAAUAAUCUAGCCCUCACAUCACCAUGUGAAUUACAUUGUAAUAAAUCUAACACCCAUACAGUUCUGGUGUCGAUCAUGUUUUGGCCGUGGAAGAGGUUUAGUCAGCGGGUCUGCUACAUUCAGAUCCGUGUGCACUUUGCAUAUAUUUACGUCCUCUUCCUCGACGUAGUCGCGGAUGAGGUUGAAGCGUCGUUUGAUGUGUCUGGUCUUCUUGUGAAAACGUGGUUCCUUUGCUAAGGCAAUGGCACCAGUGUUGUCACAGAACAAGGUUAUUGGAUCCAGUGCACUUGGCACCACUCCAAGAUCUGUUAUGAACUGCUUCAUCCAGACACCCUCCUUAGCCGCCUCCGAGGCAGCCAUGUACUCCGCUUCACAUGUAGAAUCUGCUACGACGCUUUGCUUGGAACUGCACCAGCUUACUGCACCCCCAUUAAGAAUAAAUACGUAUCCGGUUUGCGACUUNNNNNNNNNNNNNNNNNNNNNNNNNNNNNNNNNNNNNNNNNNNNNNNNNNNNNNNNNNNNNNNNNNNNNNNNNNNNNNNNNNNNNNNNNNNNNNNNNNNNNNNNNNNNNNNNNNNNNNNNNNNNNNNNNNNNNNNNNNNNNNNNNNNNNNNNNNNNNNNNNNNNNNNNNNNNNNNNNNNNNNNNNNNNNNNNNNNNNNNNNNNNNNNNNNNNNNNNNNNNNNNNNNNNNNNNNNNNNNNNNNNNNNNNNNNNNNNNNNNNNNNNNNNNNNNNNNNNNNNNNNNNNNNNNNNNNNNNNNNNNNNNNNNGUCACCUCCAUACACGAGAAACAUCUCCUUAGUCCUUUUCAGGUACUUCAGGAUAUUCUUGACCGCUGUCCAGUGAUCCACUCCUGGAUUACUCUGGAACCUACCUGCCAUACUUAUGGCCAGGCUAACAUCCGGUCUAGUGCACAGCAUUGCAUACAUGAUAGAACCUAUGGCUGAAGCAUAGGGGACAGAGCGCAUAUGCUCUCUAUCUUCAUCAGUUGCUGGGCACUGAGUCUUACUCAAUCUCGUACAUUGUAAAACUGGCAAGAACCCUUUCUUAGACUGUUCCAUUUUGAACCUCUUCAAAACUUUAUCAAGGUAUGUGCUUUGUGAAAGUCCUAUCAGGCGUUUUGAUCUAUCCCUAUAGAUCUUAAUGCCUAGAAUGUAAGCAGCUUCUCCUAGGUCCUUCAUAGAGAAACUUUUAUUCAAGUAACCUUUUAUGCUCUCCAAAAGCUCUACGUUGUUUCCAAUCAGUAAUAUGUCAUCCACAUAUAAUAUUAGAAACGCCACAGAGCUCCCACUCACUUUCUUGUAAAUACAAGAUUCUCCAACCACUUGUANNNNNNNNNNNNNNNNNNNNNNNNNNNNNNNNNNNNNNNNNNNNNNNNNNNNNNNNNNNNNNNNNNNNNNNNNNNNNNNNNNNNNNNNNNNNNNNNNNNNGAAGCAACUUUGUAGACUGGGCUCGUAAUCUUAAGCUAAUCUUACAAGCUGGGAAGAAGGAUUAUGUCCUUAAUGCUGCGCUAGGAGAUGAACCACCCGCUACGCCUGAUCAGGAUGUUAAGAACGCUUGGUUAGCACGUAAGGAGGACUACUCAAUAGUUCAAUGUGCAGUCUUGUAUGGCUUAGAACCGGGACUUCAACGUCGCUUUGAGCGUCAUGGAGCAUUUGAGAUGUUCCAGGAGUUGGAGUUUAUCUUUCAGAAGAACACCCGGAUCGAGAGGUAUGAGACCUCCGAUAAGUUCUAUGCUUGCAAGAUGGAGGAAAACUCGUCUGUCAGUGAACAUGUGCUCAAAAUGUCUGGGUACUCAAACCGUCUAGCUGAGCUGGGGAUUGAACUCCCGNNNNNNNNNNNNNNNNNNNNNNNNNNNNNNNNNNNNNNNNNNNNNNNNNNNNNNNNNNNNNNNNNNNNNNNNNNNNNNNNNNNNNNNNNNNNNNNNNNNNNNNNNNNNNNNNNNNNNNNNNNNNNNNNNNNNNNNNNNNNNNNNNNNNNNNNNNNNNNNNNNNNNNNNNNNNNNNNNNNNNNNNNNNNNNNNNNNNNNNNNNNNNNNNNNNNNNNNNNNNNNNNNNNNNNNNNNNNNNNNNNNNNNNNNNNNNNNNNNNNNNNNNNNNNNNNNNNNNNNNNNNNNNNNNNNNNNNNNNNNNNNNNNNNNNNNNNNNNNNNNNNNNNNNNNNNNNNNNNNNNNNNNNNNNNNNNNNAACAAGUCUCCCGGCGAGCUGUUUGCGAUGCUGAAAGUCGCAGAGUCUGAACUCCGUAAAGAGCAUCAAGUGUUGAUGGUGAGCAAGACCACUAGUUUCAAAAGAAACGGCAAAGGCAAGAAGGGCAAUUCGAAGAAGAGCGGCAAGCCUGUUGCCAAUCCGCCGAAGAAACCCAAGGCUGGACCUAAGCCUAAAACAGAGUGCUUCUAUUGCAAGGGUAUGGGUCACUGGAAGCGCAAUUGCCCCAANNNNNNNNNNNNNNNNNNNNNNNNNNNNNNNNNNNNNNNNNNNNNNNNNNNNNNNNNNNNNNNNNNNNNNNNNNNNNNNNNNNNNNNNNNNNNNNNNNNNACUUUGAAUAUAUUUGUGUUGUAGAUCAUGGCUCACGCGACAGUCAUCCUGAAUUUUAAUACGUUCCUAGAGAAAGCUAAGUUGAAAGAUGAUGGAAGCAACUUUGUAGACUGGGCUCGUAAUCUUAAGCUAAUCUUACAAGCUGGGAAGAAGGAUUAUGUCCUUAAUGCUGCGCUAGGAGAUGAACCACCCGCUACGCCUGAUCAGGAUGUUAAGAACGCUUGGUUAGCACGUAAGGAGGACUACUCAAUAGUUCAAUGUGCAGUCUUGUAUGGCUUAGAACCGGGACUUCAACGUCGCUUUGAGCGUCAUGGAGCAUUUGAGAUGUUCCAGGAGUUGAAGUUUAUCUUUCAGAAGAACGCUCGGAUCGAGAGGUAUGAGACCUCCGAUAAAUUCUAUGCUUGCAAGAUGGAGGAGAACUCGUCUGUCAGUGAGCAUGUGCUCAAAAUGUCUGGGUACUCAAACCGUCUAGCUGAGCUGGGGAUUGAACUCCCGCAAGAUGCUAUCACUGACAAAAUCCUUCAAUCACUGCCGCCAAGCUAUAAAGGCUUUGUGUUGAACUACAACAUGCAAGGGAUGAACAAGUCUCCCAGCGAGUUGUUUGCGAUGCUGAAAGUCGCAGAGUCUGAACUCCGUGAAGAGCAUCAAGUGUUGAUGGUGAAUAAGACCACUGGUUUCAAGAGAAACGGCAAAGGCAAGAAGGGUAAAUUGAAGAAGAGCGGCAAGCCUGUUGCCAAACCGACGAAGAAACCCAAAGCUGGACCUAAGCCUGAAACAAAGUGUUACUAUUGCAAGGGUAUGGGUCACUGGAAGCGCAAUUGCCCCAAGUAUCUGGCUGAUAAGAAGGCGGCCAAAGAAAAAUCAGGUAUAUUUGAUAUACAUGUUAUUGAUGUGUACUUAACCGGCUCUCGUAGUAGUGCCUGGGUAUUCGAUACCGGUUCUGUUGCUCAUAUUUGCAACUCGAAACAGGAACUACGGAAUAGACGAAGGCUGGCGAAAGAUGAAGUGACGAUGCACGUGGGAAAUGGUUCCAAGGUUGAUGCAAUCGCCGUCGGCACAGUCUCACUUCAGUUACCGUCAGGAUUAGUUAUGAACAUAAAUCAUUGUUAUUUAGUGCCUGCGUUGAGCAUGAACAUUAUAUCUGGAUCUUGUUUAUUGCGAGACGGUUACUCAUUUACUUCAGAGAAUAAUGGUUGUUCUAUUUCUAUGAGUAACAUCUUUUAUGGUCAUGCACCCAAUGUGAGAGGAUUGUUCAUAUUGAAUCUUGAUAGUGAUACACACCUGCAUAACAUUGAGACCAAAAGAGUUAGAGUUAACAAUGAUAGCGCCAUAUUUUUGUGGCACUGCCGCUUAGGUCAUAUUGGUGUAAAGCGCAUGAAGAAACUCCAUGCCGAUGGACUUUUGGAGUCACUUGACUUUGAUUCACUUGACACAUGCGAACCAUGCCUCAUGGGCAAGAUGACUAAAACUCCGUUCUCCGGAACAAUGGGGCGUGCAAGUGACUUGUUGGAAAUCAUACAUACCGAUGUGUGUGGUCCGAUGAGCGUAGAGGCACGCGGCGGAUAUCGUUAUUUUCUCACCUUCACCGACGAUUUGAGUAGAUAUGAUUAUGUCUACUUAAUGAAGCACAAGUCUGAAACAUUUGAAAAGUUCAAGCAAUUUCAGAGUGAAGUUGAAAACCAUCAUAACAAGAAGAUCAAGUUCCUACGGUCUGAUCGUGGGGGUGAAUAUCUGAGUUUCGAGUUUGGUGCUCACUUAAGACAAUGUGGAAUUGUUUCACAGUUAACACCGCCUAGAACAACACAGCGUAAUGGUGUGUCCGAACGUCGUAAUCGUACUUUGUUAGAGAUGGUGCGAUCUAUGAUGUCUCUUACCGAUUUGCCAUUAUCAUUUUGGGGUUAUGCAUUAGAAACAGCUGCAUUCACUUUAAAUAGGGCACCAUCAAAAUCCGUUGAGACGACACCAUACGAACUGUGGUAUGGCAAAAGGCCAAAGUUGUCGUUUCUUAAAGUUUGGGGAUGUGAUGCUUAUGUCAAAAAGCUUCAGCCUGAAAAGCUGGAACCCAAAGUGGAAAAGUGCAUCUUCGUAGGUUACCCAAAAGAGACAGUUGGGUACACCUUCUAUCUCAAAUCCGAGGGCAAAGUGUUUGUUGCUAAAAACGGAGCUUUUCUCGAGGAGUUUCUCUCGAGAGAUUUGAGUGGGAGGAAGAUAGAACUUGACGAGGUUGUUGAACCUCUCAUCCCUCUGGAUGGUGGCGCAGGGCAAGGGGAAACCUCUGUCGUUGCGACGCCGGUUGAGGAAGAAGUUAAUGAUGAUGAUCAUGAAACUCCAGUUCAAGUUUCUGUCGAACCACGCAGGUCGACGAGACCAUGUGCUGCUCCAGAGUGGUACGGUAAUCCCGUCUUAUCAAUCAUGUUGUUAGACAACAAUGAACCUGCAAAUUAUGAAGAAGCAAUGGUGGGCCCAGAUUCCAACAAAUGGCUAGAAGCCAUGGAGUUCGAGAUAGGAUCCAUGUAUGGGAACAAAGUGUGGACUUUGGAGGUACUACCUGAGGGCCGCAAGGCUAUUCAGAACAAAUGGAUCUUUAAGAGGAAGACGGACGCUGAUGGCAAUGUGACCAUUUAUAAAGCUUGACUUGUGGCAAAGGGUUUUUCACAAGUUCAAGGAGUUGACUACGAUGAGACAUUCUCACCCGUAGCGAUGCUUAAGUCCGUCAGAAUCAUGUUAGCAAUAGCUGCAUUUUUCGAUUAUGAAAUCUGGCAGAUGGAUGUCAAAACAGCGUUCCUUAACGGUUUCCUUAAGGAAGAGUUGUAUAUGAUGCAACCCGAAGGUUAUAUCGAUCCUAAGAAUGCUAACAAGGUGUGCAAGCUCCAGCGAUCCAUUUAUGGACUGGUGCAAGCAUCUCGGAGUUGGAACAAACGCUUUGAUGAGGUGAUCAAAGCAUUUGGGUUUAUACAAGUGGUUGGAGAAUCUUGUAUUUACAAGAAAGUGAGUGGGAGCUCUGUGGCAUUUCUAAUAUUAUAUGUGGAUGACAUAUUGCUGAUUGGAAACAACGUAGAGUUUUUGGAGAGCAUAAAGGAUUACUUGAAUAAAAGUUUCUCUAUGAAGGACCUAGGAGAAGCUGCUUACAUUCUAGGCAUUAAGAUCUACAGGGAUAGAUCAAAACGCCUGAUAGGACUUUCACAAAGCACAUACCUUGAUAAAGUUUUGAAGAGGUUCAAAAUGGAACAGUCCAAGAAAGGGUUCCUGCCAGUUUUACAAGGUACGAGAUUGAGUAAGACUCAGUGCCCAGCAACUGAUGAAGAUAGAGAGCAUAUGCGCUCCGUCCCCUAUGCUUGAGCCAUAGGUUCUAUCAUGUAUGCAUGCUGUGCACUAAACCGGAUGUUAGCCUCGCCAUAAGUAUGGCAGGUAGGUUCCAGACUAAUCCAGGAGUGGAUCACUGGACGGCGGUCAAGAAUAUCCUGAAGUACCUGAAAAGGACUAAGGAGAUGUUUCUCGUGUAUGGAGGUGACGAAGAGCUCGUCGUAAAAGGUUACGUCGAUGCAAGCUUUGACACAGAUCCGGACGACUCUAAGUCGCAAACCGGAUAUGUAUUUAUUCUUAAUGGGGGUGCGGUAAGAUGGUGCAGUUCCAAGCAAAGCGUCGUAGCAGAUUCUACAUGUGAAGCGGAGUACAUGGCUGCCUCGGAGGCGGCCAAGGAGGGUGUCUGGAUGAAGCAGUUCAUGACGGAUCUUGGAGUGGUGCCAAGCGCACUGAAUCCAAUAACCUUGUUAUGUGACAACACGGGUGCCAUUGCCUUAGCAAAGGAACCACGGUUUCACAUGAAGACCAGACACAUCAAACGACGCUUCAACCUCAUCCGCGACUACGUCGAGGGAGAGGACGUAAAUAUAUGCAAAGUGCACACGGAUCUGAAUGUAGCAGACCCGCUGACUAAACCUCUUCCACGGCCAAAGCAUGAUCAACACCAGAACUGUAUGGGUGUUACAUUUAUUACAAUAUAAUUCACAUGAUGAUGUGAGGGCUAGAUUAUUGACUCUAGUGCAAGUGGGAGACUGUUGGAAUUAUGCCCUANNNNNNNNNNNNNNNNNNNNNNNNNNNNNNNNNNNNNNNNNNNNNNNNNNNNNNNNNNNNNNNNNNNNNNNNNNNNNNNNNNNNNNNNNNNNNNNNNNNNNNNNNNNNNNNNNNNNNNNNNNNNNNNNNNNNNNNNNNNNNNNNNNNNNNNNNNNNNNNNNNNNNNNNNNNNNNNNNNNNNNNNNNNNNNNNNNNNNNNNNCAAGGGUACGUAGAUCACACAUCCCCUCUCGUAGAUGGACAUCCACAUGAUAGGUCUUCGUGCGCGUAGGAAAUUUUUUGUUUCCCAUGCGACGUUCCCCAACAUUCGUGAGCAAGCAAGUUGGAUGCACACCCACUAGUUCUCCUUUUGAGCUUUCACAUACUUAUAGCUCAAGUGCAUCCAUUGCAUGGUAAUCCCUACUCUUUCACAUUGAUAUCUAUUGAUGGGCAUCUCCAUAGCCCUUUGGUACGCAGAGUCGAUGUGACCAUCUCCUCCUUUUUGUCUCACAACGUCCACUACACUCUAUUCCACCUAUAGUGAUAUAUCCAUGGCUCACGCUCAUGUAUUGCGUGAGAGUUGAAAAAGGUUUGAGAAAGUAAGAGUGCGAAAACAAUUAUUUGGCCAAUACCGGGGUUGUGCAUGAUAUAAAUUAGUUGUUUGGGGAUGAUGGAGCAUAGCUAGACUAUAUGAUUUUGUAGGGAUAAUUUUCUUUGGCCUUGAUAUUUCAAAAGUUCAUGAUUACCUUGCUAGUUUGCUCGAAGUAUUAUUGUUUUCAUGUCAAUAGCAAACUAUUGUUUUGAAUCUUACAGAUCUAAACAUUCAUGUCACAUGAAAAAAGUUACAAAGGACAAAUAUACUAGGUAGCAUUCCACAUCAAAAAUUCAGUCUUUAUCACUUCCCUACUCGAGGACGAGCAGGACUUAAGCUUGGGGAUGCUUGAUGUUGGAAAUAUGCCCUAGAGGCAAUAAUAAAAUGGUUAUUAUCAUAUUUCCCUGUUCAUGAUAAUCGUCUAUUGUUCAUGCUAUAAUUGUAUUAACAGGAAACAGUAAUACAUGUGUGAAUGAAUAGAUCACAAUGUGUCCCUAGCAAGCCUCUAAUUGGCUAGCUUGUUAGUCAAUAGAUGAUCAUGGUUUCCUGAUCAUGGGCAUUAGAUGUCACUGAUAACGGGAUCACAUCGUUGGGAGAAUGAUGUGAUGGACAGACCCAAUCCUAAGCCUAGAUCGUAUUGUUCGUAUGCUAAUGCUUUUGUAAUGUCAAGUAUCUUUUCCUUCGACCGUGAGAUUGUGCAACUCCCGGAUACCAUAGGAGUGCUUUGGGUGUAUCAAACGUCACAACGUAACUGGGUGACUAUAAAGGUGCACUACGGGUACCUCCGAAAGUGUUUGUUGGGUUGGCACGAAUCGAGAUCGGGAUUUGUCACUCCGUGUGACGGAGAGGUAUCUCUGGGCCCACUCGGUAGAACAUCAUCAUGAGCUCAAUGUGACUAAGGAGUUAGUCACACGAUGACGUGCUACGGAGCGAGUAAAGAGACUUACCGGUAACGAGAUUGAACAAGGUAUAGGUAUACUGACGAUCGAAUCUCGGGCAAGUUCUAUACCGACAGACAAAGGGAAUCGUAUACGGGAUUGAUUGAAUCCUUGACAUCGUGGUUCAUUCAAUGAGAUCAUCGUGGAGCUAGUGGGAGCCACCAUGGGUAUCCAGACCCCGCUGAUGGUUAUUGGCCAGAGAGGUGUCUCGGUCAUGUCUGCCUGUCUCCCGAACCCGUAGGGUCUACACACUUAAGGUUCGCUGACGCUAGAGUUAUAGGGAAUUGUUAUACGAGGUUACCGAAAGUUGUUCGGAGUCCCGGAUGAGAUCCCGGACAUCACGAGGAGCUCCGGAAUGGUCCGGAGGUAAAGAUUGAUAUAUAGGACGGAUGGUUUCGGACACCGGAAGUGUUUCGGGCAUCACUCGUAACGUACCGGGACCACCGGGACCACCGGAGGUGGUCCCGGGGGACCACCCAAGGGGGCAACGACCCCGGGAGGUAAGGUGGGCCAAGUGGGGGUGGGAACCAGCCCCUAGGUGGGUUGGUGCGCCUCCCCACUCAGCCCAUGGCGCAAGGGAAAGAAAAAAGGGGGGCAAACCCUAGGCCAGGUGGGCCUAAGGCCCACCAGUGGGUGCGCCACCCCCUCCUCCCCCUCUGGCCGCCGCACCACCCAUCUAGGAGGGCUGCCGCACCCCUUAGGUUGGGAACCCUAGGGGUGGCACCCCCUCUCCUGUUCCCCUAUAUAUAGUGGGCACUUUUGGCCUUUGGAGGACACCGUUUGAUCUCUCUCUCAGCGCAGCCCUCCUCCUCUCCCUCCUCCUCUCUGCCGGCGCUUGGCGAAGCCCUGCCGGGAGACCUCGUCUCUCCACCGACACCACGCCGUCGUGUUGCUGGACUUCUUCCCCAACCUCUCCCUCCUCCUUGCUGGAUCAAGGUGCAGGAGACGUCACCGGGCUGCACGUGUGUUGAACGCGGAGGUGCCGUUGUUCGGCACUAGAUCGGAAUCGUUGCGAGUACGACUCCAUCAACCGUGUUCUAGCAACGCUUCCGCUUAGCGAUCUUCAAAGGUAUGAAGAUGCUCUUACCCCUCUCUCAUUGUUGGUCUCUCCAUAGGAAGAUCUGAACAUGCGUAGGAAAGUUUUUGAAUUUAUGCUACGUCACCCAAAAGUGGCAUCCGAGCCAGGUUUUCUAUGCGUAGAUUCUAUGCACGAGUAGAACACAAAAGUUGUGGGCGAUGGUUUGUCAAUUUUCUUUCCGUUACUAGUCUUAUUCUUUUUCGGCGGUAUUGUGGGAUGAAGCGGCCCGGACCGACCUUACACGUACGCUUAUGUGAGACUGGUUCCACCGACAGACAUGCACAUCGUGCAUAAAGGUGGCUAGCGGGUGUCUGUCUCUCCUACUCUAGUCGGAUUGGAUUUGAUGAAAAGGGUCCUUAUGAAGGGUAAAUAGCUUUGGCAUAUCAUCGUUGUGGCUGUCACGUAGGUAAGAAGGCGUUCUUGCUAGAAACCCAAAUCCGCCACGUAAAACUUGCAACAACAAUUAGAGGACGUCUAACUUGUUUUUGCACGGUUUGACAUGUGAUGUGAUAUGGCCAAAGUUGUGAUGUUGCAUGUAUGAUGUAUGAGAUGAUCAUGUUAUUGUAAUAGGUUUCACGACUUGCAUGUCGAUGAGUAUGACAACCGGCAGGAGCCAUAGGAGUUGUCUUAAUUUAUUGUAUGAGAUGCAACGCCAUGUGCUUACUACUUUUACUUCAUUGCUAACGGUUAGCUAUAGUAGUAGCGAUAGUAGUAGUUGGCGUGACGACUUCACGGAGACACGAUGAUGGAGAUCAUGAUGAUGGAGAUCAUGGUGUCACGCCGGUGACGAUGAUGAUCAUGCGAUGCCUGAAGAUGGAGAUCGAAAGAGCAAAGAUGAUAAUGGCCAUAUCAUGUCACUAUAUGAUUGCAUUGUGAUGUUUAUCAUGUUUUACAUCUUAUUGCUUAAAACGACGGUAGCAUAAUAAGAUGAUCCCUCUUAAAAUUUCGAGAACGUAUUCCCCUAAGUGUGCACCGUUGCGAAGGUUCGUUGUCUAGAAGCACCACGUGAUGAUCGGGUGUGAUAGAUAACGUUCGCAUACAACGGGUGUAAGCCAGAUUUACACACGCGAAACACCUAGGUUGACUCGACGAGCUUAGCAUGUACAGACAUGACCUCGAAUACAAGAGACCGAAAGGUCGAACAUGAGUCGUAUGGUUGAAUACGAUCAACAUGAAGUUGCUCACCAUGGUGACUAGUCCGUCUCACGUGAUGAUCGGACACGGGUUAGUCAACAUGGAUCAUGUAUCACUUAGAUGACUAGAGGGAUGUCGAUUUAAGUGGGAGUUCAUACUUAAUUUGAUUAAAUGAACUUAAUUGUCAUGAACUUAGUCUAAAAGUUGUCUUUAUAAAUAUUGUAGAUGUCCAACGUCAACCUCAACUUCAAUGCAUUCCUAGAGAAAAACAAGCUGAAAGAUGAUGGUAGCAACUAUGCGGACUGGGUUCGCAACGUGAAGCUCAUCCUUGAAGCAGCUAAAAAGGCUUAUGUCCUUGAUGCGCCGCUAGGUGACCCUCCCGCUCCCGCAGCAGCCCAGGACAUUCUGAACGUCUGGCAAGCGCGGAGGGAUGACUACUCUCUGGUCAGGUGUGGCAUGUUAUACAGUUUAGAAACGGGGGUCCAAAGGCGUUUUGAGCAACACGGGGCAUAUGAGAUGUUCCAGGAGCUGAAGCUAGUUUUUCAAGUUCAUGCCCGUGUCGAGAGAUAUGAAGUCUCCGACAAGUUCUUUAGGUGUAAGAUGGAGGAGAACAGUUCUAUCAGUGAGCACAUACUCAAAAUGUCUGGGUUACACGGUCGUCUGACUUCACUUGGAGUCGAACUUCCGGAUGAUGCUAUAAUUGACAGAAUCCUCCAGUCUCUCCCACCAAGCUACAAAGGAUUUGUGCUUAAAUACAACAUGCAAGGGAUGGAGAAGACCAUUCCCGAGUUGUACUCGAUGCUCAAGUCUGCAGAAGUAGAAAUCAAGAAGGAGCAUCAAGUGUUGAUGGUCAACAAGACCACUAGUUUCAAGAAAGGCAGGGGUAAGAAGAACUUCAAGAAAGACGGCAAAGCUGUUGCCGCGCCCCGUAAGCCAGAUGCCAGGAAGAAGAAAAAGAACGGACCCAAGCCUGAGACUGAGUGCUUCUAUUGCAAGGGAAAAGGUCACUGAAAGCGGAACUGCCCCAAAUACUUAGCGGACAAGAAGGCCGGCAACGUUAAAGGUAUAUGUGAUAUACAUGUUAUUGAUGCGUACCUUACCAGCGCUCGUAGUAGCUCUUGGGUAUUUGAUACCGGUGUUGUUGCUCACAUUUGCAACUCAAAGCAGGAACUGCGGAAUAAGCAGAGACUGGGCAAGGACGAGGUGACGAUGCGCGUCGGGAAUGGUUCAAAGGUCGAUGUGAUCGCCGUCGGCACGCUACCUCUACAUCUACCGUUGGGAUUAGCUUUAAACCUUAAUAAUUGUUAUUUAGUACCAGCUUUAAGCAUGAACAUUGUAUCAGGGUCUUGCUUAAUGCGAGACGGCUACUCAUUUAAGUCAGAGAAUAAUGGUUGUUCUAUUUAUAUGAGUGAUAUGUUUUAUGGUCAUGCUCCGCUGGUGAAUGGUUUAUUCUUGAUGAAUCUCGAUCGUGAUGUUACACAUAUUCAUAGUGUGAGUACCAAAAGAUGCAAAGUUGAUAAUGAUAGUCCCACAUACUUGUGGCACUGCCGCCUUGGUCAUAUCGGCGUUAAGCGCAUGAAGAAGCUCCAUACUGAUGGACUAUUAGAGUCUCUUGACUUUGAAUCAUUUGACACAUGCGAACCGUGCCUCAUGGGCAAGAUGACUAAGACUCCAUUCUCAGGAAUAAUGGAGAGAGCAACCAACUUAUUGGAAAUAAUACAUACUGAUGUGUGUGGUCCAAUGAGCGUCGAAGCUCGCGGUGGUUAUCAUUAUGUUCUCACUCUCACCGAUGAUUUGAGUAGGUAUCGGUAUAUCUACUUGAUGAAGCACAAAUCUGAGACGUUUGAAAAGUUCAAGGAAUUUCAGAGUGAGGUUGAGAAUCAACGUCACAGAAAAAUUAAAUGUCUACGAUCUAAUCGUGGAGGAGAAUAUUUGAGUCACGAGUUUGGCACACACCUACGAAAGUGUGGAAUCGUUUCACAACUAACGCCGCCUGGCACACCGCAGCGCAACGGGGUGUCUGAACGUCGUAAUCGCACUUUAUUAGAUAUGGUGCGAUCUAUGAUGUCUCUCACCGACUUGCCGCUAUCAUUUUGGGGAUACGCAUUAGAAACUGCAGCAUUCACUUUAAAUAGGGCACCGUCUAAAUCCGUUGAGACGACACUGUAUGAACUGUGGUUUGGCAAGAAACCUAAGUUGUCGUUUCUUAAAAUUUGGGGCUGCGAUGCUUAUGUGAAGAAACUUCAACCAGAAAAGCUCGAACCCAAAGCGGAGAAAUGCGUAUUCAUAGGAUACCAUAAGGAAACUAUUGGGUAUACCUUCUAUCUUAGAUCCGAAGGUAAAACCUUUGUUGCCAAGAACGGAUCCUUUCUAGGGAAAGAGUUUCUCUCGAAAGAAGGAAGUGGGAGGAAGGUAGAACUUGAUGAGGUAAUUACACCCCCUCUCGAACAGGAAAAUAGCGCAGCGCGGGAAGUUGUUCCUGUGGCCCCUACACCGACUGAAGAGGAAGUUAAUGAUGAUGAUCAUGAAGCUUCGGAUCAAGUUACUACUGAACCGCGAAGGUCCGCAAGGGCACGCUCCGCACCAGAGUGGUACGGCAACCCUGUGAUGGAAAUCAUGUUGUUAGACAACGGUGAACCUUCGAACUAUGAAGAAUCAAUGGCGGGCCCGGAUUCCAACAAAUGGCUUGAGGCUAUGAAAUCCGAGAUAGGAUCCAUGUAUGAGAACAAAGUAUGGACUUUGGUGGACUUGCCCGAUGACCGGCGAGCCAUAGAAAAUAAAUGGAUCUUCAAGAAGAAGACUGAUGCAAACGGUAAUGUAACCGUUUACAAAGCUCGACUUGUCGCAAAGGGUUUUCGACAAAUUCAAGGAGUUGACUACGAAGAGACUUUCUCUCCCAUAGCGAAGCUGAAAUCAGUUCAAAUCAUGUUAGCAAUUGCCGCCUUUUAUGAUUAUGAAAUUUGUCAAAUGGACGUCAAAACAUCGUUCCUUAACGGGAACCUUAAGGAAGAGUUGUAUAUGACACAACCAGAAGGUUUUGUCGACCCUAAGGGUGCUAACAAAGUGUGCAAGCUCCAGCGCUCCAUCUAUGGGCUGGUGCAAGCAUCUCGGAGUUGGAACAUUCGCUUUAAUGAGGUGAUUAAAGCGUUUGGGUUCAUACAGGUUUACGGAGAAGCCUGUCUGUACAAGAAAGUGAGUGGGAGCUCUGUAGCUUUCCUCAUACUGUAUGUGGAUGCCAUAUUAUUGAUGGGGAAUAAUAUAGAGAUGUUGGAGAGCAUAAAGGCCUAUUUGAACAAGAGUUUUUCAAUGAAGGACCUUGGAGAAGCUGCAUACAUAUUAGGCAUCAAGAUCUAUAGAGAUAGAUCGAGACGCCUCAUAGGUCUUUCGGAAAGUACAUAUCUUGACAAGAUAUUGAAGAAGUUCAAUAUGGAAAACUCAAAGAAAGGGUUCUUGCCAGUUUUGCAAGGUAUGAGAUUGAGUAAGACUCAUUCGCCGACCACGGCAGCAGAUAGAGAGAAGAUGAGUUCUGUCCCCUACGCUUCAGCCGUGGGCUCUCUAAUGUAUGUCAUGCUGUGUACCAGACCUGAUAUAAACUUUGCCAUAAGUUUGGUAGGGAGGCACAAAAGUGAUCCCGGUAUGGAACACUGAACAGCGGUCAAGAAUAUCCUUAAGUACCUGAAAAGGACUAAGGAAAUGUUUCUCGUUUAUGGAGGUGACGAAGAGCUCGUCGUAAAGGGUUACGUUGACGCUAGCUUCGACACAGAUCCGGAUGACUCUAAGUCACAGACCGGAUACGUAUAUGUGUUGAAUGGUGGGGCAGUGAGCUGGUGCAGCAGCAAGCAAGAAGUCGUGGCAGCAUCUACAUGUGAAGCGGAGUACAUAGCUCCUUCAGAAGCGGCUCAUGAAGGAAUUUGGAUGAAGGAGCUCAUCACCGACCUUGGAGUGGUUCCAAGCGCGUCGGGUCCUAUGACACUCUUCUGUGAUAACUCUGGAGCCACUGCCAUAGCCAAGGAGCCCAGGUUUCACCGGAAGACGAAGCACAUCAAGCCCCGCUACAACUCCAUCCAGGACCAUGUCUAGAGUGGAGCGAUAGAUAUUUGUAAAGUACACACGGAUCUGAAUAUUGCAGACCCGUUGACUAAACCUCUUCCACGAGCAAAACAUGAUCAACACCAUAAUGCUAUGGGUGUUCGAUACAUCACAAUGUAACUAGAUUAUUGACUCUAGUGCAAGUGGGAGACUGUUGGAAAUAUGCCCUAGAGGCAAUAAUAAAAUGGUUAUUAUCAUAUUUCCUUGUUCAUGAUAAUCGUCUAUUGUUCAUGCAAUAAUUGUAUUAACAGGAAACAGUAAUACGUGUGUGAAUAAAUAGAUCACAAUGUGUCCCUAGCAAGCCUCUAGUUGGCUAGCUCGUUAGUCAAUAGAUGAUCAUGGUUUCCUGAUCAUGGGCAUUAGAUGUCAUUGAUAACGGGAUCACAUCAUUGGGAGAAUGAUGUGAUGGACAAGACCCAAUCCUAAGCCUAGCACUAGAUCGUAUUGUUCGUAUGCUAAUGCUUUUCUAAUGUCAAGUAUCUUUUCCUUUGACCGUGAGAUUGUGCAACUCCCGGAUACCGUAGGAGUGCUUUGGGUGUAUCAAACGUCACAACGUAACUGGGUGACUAUAAAGGUGCACUACGGGUACCUCCGAAAGUGUCUGUUGGGUUGGUACGAAUCGAGAUCGGGAUUUGCCACUCCGUGUGACGGAGAGGUAUCUCUGGGCCCACUCGGUAGAACAUCAUCAUGAGCUCAAUGUGACUAAGGAGUUAGUCACACGAUGACGUGCUACGGAACGUGUAAAGAGACUUACCGGUAACGAGAUUGAACAAGGUAUAGGUAUACCGACGAUCGAAUCUCGGGCAAGUUAUAUACCGACAGACAAAGGGAAUCGUGUACGGGAUUGAUUGAAUCCUUGACAUCGUGGUUCAUCCGAUGAGAUCAUCGUGGAGCAAGUGGGAGCCACCAUGGGUAUCCAGACCCCGCUGAUGGUUAUUGGCCACAGAGGUGUCUCGGUCAUGUCUGCCUGUCUCCCGAACCUGUAGGGUCUACACACUUAAGGUUCGAUGACGCUAGGGUUAUAGGGAAUUGUUAUACGAGGUUACCGAAAGUUGUUCGGAGUCCCGGAUGAGAUCCCGAACGUCACGAGGAGCUCCGGAAUGGUCCGGAGGUAAAGAUUGAUAUAUAGGACGGAUGGUUUCGGAUACCGGAAGUGUUUCGGGCAUCACCGGGACCACCGGAGGUGGCCCCGGGAGACCACCGAAGGGGGGCAGCGACCCCGGGAGAUAAGGUGGGCCAAGUGGGGGUGGGAACCAGCCCCUAGGUGGUCUGGUGCGCCUCCCCACUCAGCCCAUUGCGCAAGGGAGAGAAAAGGGGGGGGGGUGCAAACCCUAGGCCAGCUGGGCCUAAGGCCCACCAGAUGGUGCGCCACCCUCUCCUCCCCCCUUUGGCCGCCGCACCUCCCAUCUGGGGGGGCUGCCGCACCCCCUAGGGUGGGAACCCUAGGGGUGGUACCCCCUCUCCCCUCCCCCUAUAUAUAUCGGGCACUUUUGGCCAUUGAGACACACGGUUUUUCCCUCUCUCUCGGCGCAACCCUACUCUUCUUCCUCCUCCUCUCUGCCGGUACUUGGCGAAGCCCUGCCGGGAGACCUCGUCUCUCCAUCGACACCACGCCGUCGUGUUGCUGGAGUUCUUCCCCAACCUCUCCCUCCUCCUUGCUGGAUCAAGGUGCGGGAGACGUCACCGGGCUGCACGUGUGUUGAACGCGGAGGUGCCGUUGUUCGGCACUAGAUCGGAAUCGCUGCGAGUACGACUCCAUCAACCGCGUUCUAGCAACGCUUCCGCUUAGCGAUCUUCAAAGGUAUGAAGAUGCUCUUACCCCUCUUUCGUUGCUGGUCUCUCCGUAGGAAGAUCUGAAUAUGCGUAGGAAAAUUUUGAAUUUAUGCUACGUUACCCAACAACGACCUUCUUGUCACCGGCGCCACACCAUGAUCUCCAUCAUCAUGAUCUCCAUCAACAUGUCGCCAUCGGGGUUGUCGUGCUACUUAUGCUAUUACUACUAAAGCUACGUCCUAGCAAUAUAGUAAACGCAUCUACAAACACAAACGUUAGUUUAAAGACAACCCUAUGGCUCCUGCCGGUUGCCGUACCAUCGACGUGCAAGUCGAUAUUAACUAUUACAACAUGAUCAUCUCGUACAUCCAAUAUAUCACAUCACGUCAUUGGCCAUAUCAUAUCACAAGCAUACCCUACAAAAACAAGUUAGACGUCCUCUAAUUGUUGUUGCAUGUUUUACGUGGCUGUUAUGGGUAUCUAGUAGAUCGCAUCUUACUUACGCAAAAACCACAACGGAGAUAUGGAAAUUGCUAUUUAACUUCUCCAAGGACCGCCUCGGUCAAAACCAAUUCAACCAAAGUUGAAGAAACUGACACUCGCCAGUCAUCUUUAUGCAACGAGGUUGCAUGUCAAGCGAUGAAACCAGUCUUUCGUAAGCGUAUGAAUAAUGUCGGUCCGAGCCGCUUCAAUCCAACAAUACCGCCGAAUCGAGAAAAGACUAAGGAGGGCAGAAAAUCGAACAUCGCCAUCCACAAAACCAUUUGUGUUCUACUCAAGAAAAUAUCUACGCAUGAACCUAGCUCUAAUACCACUGUUGGAGAACGUCACAUGGGAAACAAAAAAUUUCCUACGUGCACGAAGACCUAUCAUGNNNNNNNNNNNNNNNNNNNNNNNNNNNNNNNNNNNNNNNNNNNNNNNNNNNNNNNNNNNNNNNNNNNNNNNNNNNNNNNNNNNNNNNNNNNNNNNNNNNNNNNNNNNNNNNNNNNNNNNNNNNNNNNNNNNNNNNNNNNNNNNNNNNNNNNNNNNNNNNNNNNNNNNNNNNNNNNNNNNNNNNNNNNNNNNNNNNNNNNNNNNNNNNNNNNNNNNNNNNNNNNNNNNNNNNNNNNNNNNNNNNNNNNNNNNNNNNNNNNNNNNNNNNNNNNNNNNNNNNNNNNNNNNNNNNNNNNNNNNNNNNNNNNNNNNNNNNNNNNNNNNNNNNNNNNNNNNNNNNNNNNNNNNNNNNNNNNNNNNNNNNNNNNNNNNNNNNNNNNAUGUCCAUCUACGAGAGGAGAUUUGGAUCUACAUACCCUUGUAGAUCGCACAGCAGGAAGCGUUAAGAAACGCGGGUUAUGUAGUGAAUCGUCCUCACGUCCCUCGAUCCGCCCCGCGAACCGUCCCAUGAACCGUCCCGCGAUCCGUCCCACGAUCCGCUCCGAUCUAGUGCCGAACGAACGACACCUCCGCGUUCAGCACACGUAUAGCUCGACUAUGAUCUCGGCCUUCUUGAUCCAGCAAUCAAGAAGGAGGAGUAGAUGAGUUCUUCGGUAGUGUGACGGUGCUCCGGUGGUGGUGAAGGAUCUACUCUUGCAGGGCUCCGCCCGAGCUCCGCAGAAAUACGAUCUAGAGGUAAAACUAUGGUGUCUAGAUCUGAGUUGCACGAGGCAAAAGUUGUCUCAAAUCAGCCCUAAAUAACCACUAUAUAUAGGAGGGAGGGGGAGGAGGCUUGCCUUGAGGGCCAAGCCCUCAAGGGUGCGCUGGCCAAGGAGGAGGAGGAGGAGUCCUACUCCAAUCCUAAUCCAACUAGGAUUGGAAAGUGGAGUCCUUCUCUUCCUUCCCACCUUUCUUUUUUUCCCCUUUUUCUUUGGUUUUUCUUUUCCUGGCGCAUAGGCCCUCUUGGACUGUCCCACCAGCCCACUAAGGGCUGGUGCGCGACCCCUAGGUCCUUUGGGCUUCCCCCGGGAGGGUUGCCCCCCUCCCGGUGAACUUCCGGAACCCAUUCGUCACUCCCGGUACAUUCCCGGUAAUGCCCUAAAACUUUCCGAUAACCAAAUGAAGUCAUCUUAUAUAUCAAUCUUUGUCUCCGGACCAUUCGGGAAACCCUUGUGACGUCCGUGAUAUCAUCCGGGACUCCGAACAACAUUUGGUAACCACACAUAUAACUCAACUAUACUAAAACAUCGCCGAACCUUAGGUGUGCAGUCUGUGCGGGUUCGAGAAAUAUGUAGACAUGCCCCGAGGUACUCGUCGGUCAAUAUCCAAUAGCGGGACCUGGAUGCCCAUAUUGGAUCCUACAUGUUCUCCAAAGAUCUUAUUGGUUGAACCUCAGUGUCAAGGAUUCAUAUAAUCCNNNNNNNNNNNNNNNNNNNNNNNNNNNNNNNNNNNNNNNNNNNNNNNNNNNNNNNNNNNNNNNNNNNNNNNNNNNNNNNNNNNNNNNNNNNNNNNNNNNNNNNNNNNNNNNNNNNNNNNNNNNNNNNNNNNNNNNNNNNNNNNNNNNNNNNNNNNNNNNNNNNNNNNNNNNNNNNNNNNNNNNNNNNNNNNNNNNNNNNNNNNNNNNNNNNNNNNNNNNNNNNNNNNNNNNNNNNNNNNNNNNNNNNNNNNNNNNNNNNNNNNNNNNNNNNNNNNNNNNNNNNNNNNNNNNNNNNNNNNNNNNNNNNNNNNNNNNNNNNNNNNNNNNNNNNNNNNNNNNNNNNNNNNNNNNNNNNNNNNNNNNNNNNNNNNNNNNNNNNNNNNNNNNNNNNNNNNNNNNNNCUUGCCCGAGAUUCGAUCCUCGGUAUCCGCAUACCUAUUUCAAUGUCGUUACCGGCAAGUCUCUUUACUCGUUCCGUAAUACAAGAUCCCGUGACUUACACUUAGUCACAUUGCUUGCAAGGCUUGUGUGUGAUGUUGUAUUACUGAGUGGGCCCUGAGAUACCUCUCCGUCACACGGAGUGACAAAUCCCAGUCUUGAUCCAUACGAACUCAAUGGACACCUUCGGAGAUACCUGUAGAGCACCUUCAUAGUCACCCAGUUACAUUGUGACGUUUGAUGAACACAACGUAUUCCUCCGGUGCCAGUGAGUUAUAUGAUCUCAUGGUCAUUGGAAAAAAUACUUGACACGCAGAAAACUAUAGCUAUAAAACGACAUGAUCAAUAUGCUACGUUCAUAGUUUGUGUCUAGUCCAUCACAUGAUUCUCCUAAUGAUGUGAUCCAGUUAUUAAGUAACAACACUUUGCACAUAGUCAGAAAACCUUGACUAUCCUUGAUCAACCGGCUAGCCAACUAGAGGCUUGCUAGGGACAUUGUUUUGUCUAUGUAUCCACACAUGUAUCUAUGUUUUCAUUCAAUACAAUUAUAGCAUGGAUAAUAAACGAUUAUCUUUAAACAGGAAAUAUAAUAAUAACUAUUUAUCAUUGCCUCUAGGGCAUAUUUCCAACAAUAUGACCUAACUUGCAGUGCAACAAGAAAGUGGCGUUAUCAUUGUUAACUCUACAUCUUUUGGUCUCAAUACUAUGGAUGUGAGUAUCAUCACAAUCGAGAUUUAAUAUGAACAAACCCCUCAAAUUGGGUGCAUGACCAUAAAAUAUAUUACUCAUAUAAAAAGAACAACCAUUAUUCUCAGACUUAAAUGAGUAACCGUCCCGCAAUAAACAAGACCCAGAUAUAAUGUUCAUGCUUAACGCAAGCACUAAAUAACAAUUAUUUAAGUUCAUAACUAAUCUCGAUGGAAACUGAAGUGAGACCGUGCCGACGACAAUUGCAUCAACCUUGGAACCAUUUCCCACGCGCAUCAUCACUUCAUGCUUCCUGAGCCUUCGCUUAUUCUGCAGUUCCUGCUUCGAGUUGCAAAUGCGAGCAACAGAACCGGUAUCAAAUACCCAGGCAUCAAUAACAUGUAUAUCAUAUAUACCUUGUUUAUCAACUACUACGAGAGUUGGUGAGGUACACAUCAAUAACAUGUAUAUCAUAUAUACCUUGUUUGGCAUUGGCCGCCUUCUUAUUGGACAGAUACUUGGGGUAGUUGCACUUCCAGUGACCUAUCCCCUUGCAAUAAUAGCACUCAGUUUCCGGCUUAGGCCCAACCUUGGGUUUCUUUGUCGGAGGGGCAAUAGUUUUGCCACUCUUCUUGGAGUUACCCUUCUUGCCUUUGCCGUUCUUCUCGAAACUAGUGGUCUUAUUGACCAUCAACACUUGAUGUUCUUUACAGAUUUCUAACUCAGCGACUUUCAGCAUCGCAAGUAACUCGCCGGGUGACUUUUUCAUCCCUUGCAAGUUAUAGUUCAACACAAAGCUCUUGUAGCUAGGUGGCAGCGAUUGAAGAAUUCUGUCAGUGAUAGCUUCUUGUGGGAGAUCAAUCCCCAGCUCAGCUAAACAGUUUGAGUACCCAGACAUUUUGAGCACAUGUUCACUGACAAACGAAUUCUCCUCCAUUUUGCAAGCAUAUAAUUUAUCGGAGGUCUCAUACCUCUCGAUCCGGGCAUUCUUCUCAAAGAUAAACUUCAACUCCUGGAAUAUCUCAUAUGCUCCAUGACAUUCAAAGCAUCGUUGAAGCGCCGGUUCUAAGCCAUCGAAUACUGCACAUUGAACUAGUGAGUAGUCAUCCUUACGAGCUUGCCAAGCGUUAAGACAUCUUGUUCAGCCGUAGCGGGUGGUUCAUCUCCUAGCGCUGCAUCAAGGACAUAAUUCUUUUGCCCAGCUUGAAGGAUAAGCCUCAAAUUUCGAGCCCAGUCUACAAAGUUGCUACCAUCAUCUUUCAGCUUAGCUUUCUCUAGGAAUGUAUUGAAAUUCAGGGUUGCUACUGCGCGAGCCAUUGAUCUACAACAUAAAUUGUGCAAAGAUUACUUAGGCUAUGUUCAAGACAAUUGAGAUUAGCUAAUCAUAUUACUUAUAAACUCCCACUCAAAUAGACAUCCCUCUAGUUACUCGAGUGUCGCAUGAUCCAAAUUCACUAACUCAAGUCCGAUUAUCACGUGAGUUGAGUAUAGUUUCAGUGGUGAACAUCUCCAUGUUGAUCAUAUCUACUAUAUGACUCAUGCUCGACCUUUCGGUCUCUUGUGUUCGAGGCCAUGUUUGUACAUGAUAGGCUCGUCAAGUUUAAGCCAAGUGUUCCACGUGUGCAACUGUUUUGCACCCUUUUUAUGUGAAUGUUGAGUCUAUCAAACCGGAUCAUCACAUGGUGUCUCGAAACGACGAACUGUUGCAACGGUGCACAGUCGGGGAGAACACAACUUUAUCUUGAAAUUUUAGUGAGGGAUCACCUUACAAUGCUAUCGUCGUUCUAAGCAAAAUAAGGUGCAUACAAGUAUUAACAUCACAUGCAAUUCAUAAGUGACAUGAUAUAGCCAUGAUCUUGUGCUUCUUGAUCUCAAUCACCAAAGCACCGGCAUGAUCUUCAUCGUCAUCGGCGCCACACCAUGAUCUCCAUCAUUGUGUCGCCAUCGAGGUUGUCGUGCUAUCUAUGUUAUCACAACUAAAGCUACUACCUAGUAAUAUAGUAAACGCAUCUGCUAGCACAAAAGUUAGUGUAAAGACAACCCUAUGGCUCCUUCCGGUUGCCCUAGCAUCGACGUGCAAGUCGAUAUUUAGCUAUUAUGACAUGAUCAUCUCAUACAUCCAAUAUAUCACAUCAUGUCUCUGGCCAUAUCACAUCACAUGCAUACCCUGCAAAAACAAGUUAGACAUCCUCUAAUUUGUUGUUGCAUGUUUUACGUGGUUGCUAUGGGUAUCUAGUAUGAUCGCAUCUUACUUACGCAAAGCCACAACGGUGAUAUGGAAAUUGCUAUUUAACCUUUUCCAAGGACCGCCUCAGUCAAAUCCGAUUCAACUAAACUUGAAGAAACAGACACCCGCCAGUUAUCUUUAUGAAACAAGUUGCAUGUUAGUCGAUGAAUCCGGUCUCCCGUAAGCGCACGAGUAAGGUUGGUUCGGGCCGCUUCAAUCCAUGAAUACCGUCGAAAAGAGAAAAGACUAAGGAGGGAAGCAAAUCGAACAUCAAUGCCUUCUGUUCUACCUGAGAUUUUAUCUACGCAUGAACCUACCUCAUGACUAAGGAGGGCAACAAAAACUUUUUUUUGGGAACGUUGCAUGGGAAACAAAAAAAUUCCUACGCACACGAAGACCUAUCAUGGUGAUGAUCAUCUACGAGAGGGAGAUUGGAUCUACAUACCCCUGUAGAUCGCUAAGCGGGAAGCAUUAAGAAACACGGUUGAUGUAGUGGAACGUCUUCGCGAUCCAAACUCCGCCGUCCCACGAUUCGUCCCGAUCUAGCACCGAAGGGACGGCACCUUCGCGUUCAGCACACGUACAACUCGAUGACGAUGUCCGCCUUCUUGAUCCAGAAAGAGAGACGGGGAAGUAAAUGAGUCCUCCAGCAACGUGACGACGCGCCAGUGAUGGUGAUGAUCUAUUCCUGUAGGGAUUCGCCUAAGGACCGCAGAAAUCCGAUCUAGAGGAGGAACUACAAACUAGAGGAGAAGGGUGCACGUGGCUGAAAAUUGUGUCUAAAAAACCCUAAAACCUCUAGUAUAUAUAGGAGGAAGGAGGGGAUAGCCUUGAGCACCAAGGGAAACCACCUUGGGCUCGGCCGAACCUAGAGAGGAGGAGUCCUCCUCCAAUCCUACUUGGAGUAGGACUCCUCCCCAAGUUGUCCACCUCUUUUGGUUUUUUGCACUUUUACCUCAUGGGCUUUCUUUGGUUGACUAGUCAGCCCACUAAGAGCUAUUGUGCCACCAUCAAGUCCAAGUGGCCCUCUUAGAGAGUGGUGGUCCCACCUAGUGGGCCCCCAGUACCCAUUCGUCACUCCCGGUACACUCCCUGCAAUGCCUGAAAUUCUUCCGGAAUCCAAAUACCAACUUCCUAUAUAUCAAUCUUCAUUUCCGGACCAUUCCGGAACUCCUUGUGACAUCCGGGAGAUCAUCCGAGACUCCGAACAAAACUUUGGUCACCAGCACCUAUAACUCAACUAUACCGAAACGUCACCGAACCUUAAGUGUGCAGACCCUGCGGUUCGAGAACUAUGCAGACAUGACCCGAGACACUCUUCGGUCAAUAUCCAAUAGCGGGACCUGGAUGUCCAUAUUGGAUCCUACAUACGAAGAUAUUAUCGGUUGAACCUCUAUGUCAAGGAUUCAUAAAAUCCCAUAUACCAUUCCCUUUGUCCUUCGGUAUGUUACUUACCCGAGAUUCGAUCGUGGUAUCUCUAUACAUAUUUCAAUCUCGUUACCAGCAAGUCUCUUUACUUGUUCCGUAAUACAAGAUCUCGUGACUAACUCUUUAGUCACAUUGCUUGCAAGGCUUAUAUGUGAUGUUGUAUUACCGAGUGGCCCCCGAGAUACCUCUCCGUCAGACGGAGUAACAAAUCCCAGUCUUGAUCCAUGCUAACUCAACGGACACCUUCCGAGAUGCCUCUAGAGUACCUUUAUAGUCACCCAGUAACGUUGCAACAUUUGAUACACACAAGGCAUUCCUCCGGUGUCAGUGAGUUACAUGAUCUCAUGGUCAUAGGAAUGAAUACAUGACAUGCAGAAAACAAUAGCAACAAAACGACACGAUCAUAUGUUGCGUUCAUAGUUUGGGUCUAGUCCAUCACAUCAUUCUCCUAAUGAUUUCAUCCCGUCAUCAAGUGACAACAUUUGUCUAUGGCUAGGAAACCUUAACCAUCUUUGAUCAACAGGCUAGUCUACUAGAGACUCACUAGGGACACAGUUUUGUCUAUACGUCCACACAUGCAUUUAUGUUUCCAUUCAAUACAGUUAUAUCAUGGAUAAUAAACGAUUAUCUUGAAACAGGAAAUAUAACAAUAACUAUUUUAUUAUUGCCUCUAGGGCAUAUUUCCAACAGUCGUUUCUGAAAGUUUGGGGCUGCGAUGCUUAUGUGAAGAAAAUUCAACCUGAGAAGCUCGAACCCAAAGCGGAAAAAUGUGUCUUCAUAGGAUACCCUAAGGAAACUAUUGGGUAUACCUUCUAUCUUAGAUCUGUACACAAAAUCUUUGUUGCUAAGAAUGGAUCCUUUUUAGAGAAAGAGUUUCUCUCAAAAUAAAUACGUGGGAGGAAAGUAGAACUUGAUGAGGUAAUUGUACCUCCUCUCGAAUCGGAGAGUAGCGCAGCACAAGAAAAUGUUUCUGAGAUGCCUGCACCGGCUAGAGAAGAAGUUAAUGAUGAUAAUCAUGAACCUUCGGAUCAAGUUCCUACUGAACCUCAAAGGUCCACAAGGACACGUUCCGCACCACAGUGGUAUGGCAAUCCUGUCAUGGAAAUAAUGUUGUUGGACAAGAGUGAACCUUCGAACUAUGAAGAAGAGAUGGCGGGCCCGGAUUCCAACAAAUGGAUUGAAGACAUGAAAUCCAAGAUAGGAUCCAUGUAUGAGAACAAAGUAUGGACUUUGGUGGACUUGCCCGAUGAUCGUCAAGCCAUAGAAAAUAAUUGGAUCUUUAAGAAGAAGACUGACGCAGAUGGUAAUGUGACCAUCUAUAAGGCUCGACUUGUCGCUAAGGGUUAUCGACAAGUUCAAGGGAUUGACUAUGAUGAGACCUUCUCACCUAUAGCGAUGCUGAAGUCGGUCUGAAUCAUGUUAGCAGUUAUCGCAGUUUAUGAUUAUGAAAUCUAGCAAAUGGACGUCAAAACGGCAUUCCUGAAUGGCUUUCUUAAGGAAGAUUUGUAUAUGAUAUAGCCGGAGUUUUGUCGAUCCUAGCAAUGCUUACAAGGUAUGCAAGCUCCAGCGCUUCAUCUAUGGGUUGGUGCAAGCAUCUCGGAGUUGGAACAUUUGCUUUGAUGAGGUGAUCAAAGCGUUUGGGUUUGUACAGACUUAUGGUGAAGCCUGUAUUUACAAGAAAGUGAGUGGGAGCUCUGUAGCAUUUAUCAUAUUAUAUGUCGAUGAUAUAUUGUUGAUGGGAAAUGAUAUAGAACGUUUGGAAAGCAUAAAGGCCUAUUUGAAUAAGAGUUUUUCAAUGAAGGACCUUGGAGAAGUUGCUUACAUAUUAGGCAUCAAGAUCUAUAGAGAUAGAUCGAGACGCCUCAUUGAUCUUUCACAAAGCACAUACCUUGACAAGAUAUUGAAGAAGUUCAAUAUGGAUAAGGCUAAGAAAGGGUUCUUGCAUGUAUUACAAGGUGUGAGGUUGAGUACGACUCAACGCCCGACCACGACAGAAGAUAGAGAAAAGAUGAGUAAUGUCCCCUAUGCUUCAGCCAUAGGCUCUAUUAUGUAUGCCAUGCUGUGUACCAAACAUGAUGUGAACCUUGCCAUAAGUUUGGUAGGGAGGUACCAAAAUGAUCCAGGAGUGGAUCACUCGAUAGCGGUCAAGAACAUCCUUAAGUACCUGAAAAGGACUAAAGAUAUGUUUCUCGUUUAUGGAGGUGCCGAAGAGCUCGUCGUAAAGGGUUACGUCGAUGCUAGCUUCGACAAAGAUCCGGAUGACCCCAAGUCACAAACCGGAUACGUGUAUAUUUUGAAUGGUGGGGCAGUCAGCUGGUGUAGUUGCAAGCAAAGCGUCGUGGCGGCAUCUACAUGUGAAGCGGAGUACAUAGCUGCUUCAGAAGCAGCACAUGAAGGAGUCUGGAUGAAGGAGUUCAUCACCGACCUAGGAGUGAUUCCCAGUGCGUCGGGCCCAAUGACUAUCUUUUGUGACAACACUGGUGCUAUUGCCAUUGCCAAGGAGCCCAUGUUUCACAAGAAGAACAAGCACAUCAAGCGCACUUCAACUCCAUUCAUGGAUACAUCCAGGAUGGAGAUAUAGAUAUUUGUAAAGUACAUACGGAUCUGAAUGUUGCAGAUCCGUUGACUAAACCUCUUCCACGAGCGAAACAUGAUCAACACCACAACUCUAUGGGUGUUCGAUUCAUCACAAUGUAACUAGAUUAUUGACUCUAGUGCAAGUGAGAGAGUGUUGGAAAUAUGCCCUAUAGGCAAUAAUAAAGUGGUUAUUAUUAUAUUUGCUAGUUCAUGAUAAUUGUCUAUUAUUCAUGCUAUAAUUGUAUUAACCGGAAACCGUAAUAUAUGUAUGAAUAUAUAUAUCACAAUGUGUCCCUAGUGAGCCUCUAGUUGGCUAGCUCGUUGAUCAAUAGAUGGUCAUGGUUUCUUGAUCAUGGACAUUGGAUGUCAUUGAUAAUGGGAUCACGUCAUUAGGAGAAUGAUCUGAUGGACAAGACCCAAUCCUAAGCAUAACACUAGAUUGUAUUGUUCGUCUGCUAAAGCUUUUCUAAUGUCAAGUAUCAUUUCCUUAGACCGUGAGAUUAUCCAACUCCUAGAUACCGUAGGAGUUCUUUGGGUGUAUAAAACGUCACAACGUAACUGGGUGAUUAUAAAGGUGCACUACAGGUAUCUCCGAAAGUGUUUGUUAGGUUGGUACGAAUCGAGACUGGGAUUUUUCACUCCGUGUGACGGAGAGGUAUCUGUGGGCCAAUUCGGUAAUGCAUCAUCAUAGUGAGCUCAGUGUGACUAAGGAGUUAGCCACGAGAUGAUGUAUUACAGAACGAGUAAAGAGACUUGUCAGAAACUAGAUUGAACAAGGUAUAGGGAUACCGACGAUCGAAUCUAGGGAAAGUAUCAUACCGAUAGACAAAGGGAAUUGGAUACGGGAUUGUUAGAAUCCCCGACAUCGUGGUUCAUCCAAUGAGAUCGUCGUGGAACAUGCAGGAAUAACCAUGGAUACCCAGACCCCACUGUUGGUUAUUCACCGGAGAGGUGUCUCGGUCAUGUUUGCAUGGUUCCCGAACCCAUAGGGUCUACACACUUAAGGUUCGAUGACGCUAGGAUUAUUACGGGAAUAGUAUACGUGGUUACCAAAGGUUGUUCGGAGUCCCGGAUGAGAUCCCGGACGUCACGAGGAGUUCCGGAAUAGUCCGGAGGUAAAGAUUCAUAUAUAGGAAGUGGAGUUUUGAUCGCCGGAAGAGUUCCGGAGAUCGUCGGUAAUGUACCGGGACCACCGGAAGGGUUCCGUGGUCCACCGGGAAAUGCCACCAGCCUCGAAAGGCUAAGCGGGCCAAGAGUGGAAGGGAACCAGCCCCUAGAUGGGCUGGUGCAUAAUACGUCUCCAUCAUAUCUACUUUUCCAAAUGUCGUGGGUAUAAGCCUGACAGUAGAUGUGUAGGGUACGAAAAGGAUGGGUAGAGUCCUAGCUACGGCGAGAAUGUAUGAGUUCAGGCCCCUCUGCGGUGGAGGUAAUAGCCCUACGUCUCAGUGCUCUGGGAGCUUGUUGUCGAGUGGAAUAUGGAAUACAACGGUUCUGGUAUAGGGGUGGAGUAGUGGCGAUUGAAUGCGUACGUUACAGGUAACGUACGACCUAAAUGCUAAUAAAUGCACCUGGAAACGUACGACAGUUUCCCUCCACGGGGUUAUGAUGUACCGAGUGGUAUCCAGUCGGUCAGCUAGAUAUCCUCCGAAUGUUAGUCUCCGAUUAGAUCAUCAAGGACCUGUUACCGACUGGAUGAUGGGGACUCCUUAAUUCAGUCGGAACUGACUAAGGCCCUUGUCCUUUGUGAGGGGUAGUCCUUGGGUAGGACCUACAGGGCAGGCCUAUGACCCUACCCUAGGACUAUAACCCCAUCACCAAUCUCUUUUGCCCUUGUUUUGGACUCUAAUUUGCAUGAUUUGAAUGGAACUAACCUCGACUGACGCUGUUUUCAACACACUUGCCUUGGUGUUAUUUUUGUGCAGAAAUCAAAGUUCUCCAAACGUCCUGAAAAUUUACGGGGAGCAGUUUUGGAAAAUAUCAAAAAUAUCUGCGCCAAGUUCCACCUCAGGGGGUGGGCCAGUGGGCCACAAGCUCUGGCUCCGCCACCACCCCCCUGGUGGUGGUGGACAGGCUUGUGGGGCCCACACGGCUCUGCCGCCCCCAAUCUCAGGUCUAUAAGAUCCCUUUCGUCCCAGAAAAAUAAAAAGCGAAGUUUUCGUCGCGUUUUCGAUACGGAGGCAGCGCCACCACCCGUUCUUCAUCUGGAGGGCAGAUCUGGAGUCCGUCUUGGGCUCCGGAGAGGGGAAAUCGUCGCCAUCGUCAUCAUCAACCUUCUUCCCUCUCCAAUUCCAUGAAGCUCUUCGUCGUUUGUGAGUAAUCUAUUCGUAGGCUCGAUGGGCGGUGAUGAGUAGGAUGAGAUCUAUCAUGUAAUCAAGUUAGUUUUGAUGGGGAUUCAUCCCUAGUAUCCACUAUGUUCUGAGAUUGAUGUUGCUACUACUUUGCCUUGCUUAAUGCUUGUCACUAGGGCCCGAGUGCCAUGAUUUAAGAUCUGAAAUUAUUAUGUUGUCACCAAUAUAUGUGUGUUUUAGAUCCGAUCUUGCAAGUUGUAGUUACCUACUAUGUGUUCUGAUCCGAGAACCCCGGAGUGACAAUAACCGGAACCACUCCCGGUGAUGACCAUAGUUUGAGGAGUUCAUGUGUUCACCAAGUGCUAAUGCGUUGGUCCGGUUCCUUAUUAAAAGGAGAACCUUAAUAUCCCGUAGUUUCCUUUUGGACCCCACUGCCACGGGAGGGAUGGACAAUAGAUGUCAUGCAAGUUCUUUUCCCUAAGCACGUAUGACGACACACGGAAUGGAUGCCUACAUCACAUUGACGAACGGGAGCUAGCCACAUAUCUUUCUGUGUUAUAGUUGUUGCAUGAUGAAUAUCAUCCGAACAAAUCACCGACCCAUUGCCUACGAGUUUGUCCUACUGCUCUUACUUGUCUUGCUCUGUUGCUGCUGCUACUACUGUUGCUACUGCUGUUACUUGUCUUGCUCUGCUGCUACUACUGUUGCUACUGCUGUUACUUGUCUUGCUCUGCUGCUACUGUUGCUAUUACUGUUGCUACUUGCUACUGUUGUCACUUUUGCUUUUCCUUGCCGCUGCUACUGCUCGUUACACUAUCGUUACUUGCUACUUUGCUACUGAUACUUUGCUUGCAGAUACUUGAAUCUGACACAUUCAGCUGCUAAUAUUUGAGAGUAUUGUCUCACCUCCUGUCGUGCGAACCAACAAAUUUGGGUUGAAUACUCUACCCUCCAAAACUGCUGCGAACCGACGCGCUGGUGGGCCAUCAACAACAUUCUUCUAGUUCCGUUGCCGGGCAGUGCUAGCAGCAUUCUUCUGGUGCCGUUGCAGGGGAAGGUUUGUUGUCAUCAGCAUUCGUCUAGCCAUCACAAGAGAUUGCCCUCAACUACGAGGGGAGGUAAGGAAUUGCCAUCUAGCUCUGCACUUGAUUCACCUUUCAGUUAUGAGUAAGUUUGCGACAUCACCUCUUGCUAGAAAUCUUGAUAUGUCGCAUGUGCUUGAUGAUGCUAGUGAUACUACUGCUAGAGAUGCUAUGCUUGAUACAAUGCCGGAUAGUGCUAGAGAUGUUAUGCUUGAUACUAUGCCUGAUACUGCUAGAGAUACUAUGCUUGAUACUGCUUUGCCUGAUGAUGCUAGAGGUGCUAUUUUGCCUGAUGAUGCUAUGCUUGAUACUGCUAGAGAUACUAUUUUGCCUGAUGUUCCACUAGGAGUAUUCCUUGAUGCUCAUAUUGCUAGAGUUACUGCUAAUGCUCGUGAUGCUUCUGAAACUGCCGAUACUAUUGAGAUAGAACCUGCUUUUGCUACUAUUAGAUCUAGCUCUCCUAGAUAUGAAUUGCCUAAUAUACCUGAGGGUUACGUUAUGGAGGGAGAGAUAGCUGAGGAUUUUCUUGCGUGUAAGGAUGCCUAUGACGCUGAGAAAUUACUUCUCAAGUGGAAGGAAAAAUCUCGGGAAGCUAGGAUGAAAAAUGACCCGAAGUUUGCCACUUCGCCUAUCUUUGUCACCGAUAAGGAUUAUGAAUUCUCUAUCGACCCUGAGGUAAUCUCUCUAGUCGAAUUUGAUCCUUUUCACGGUUAUGAGUCUGAGACGGUCUUGGCCCAUCUAGCCAAACUAUCCGAAAUAGCCAACCUUUUCACUAAUGAGGAGAAGAUCCGCCACUACUAUAUCCUUAAGAUGUUUCCUUUCUCUCUAAAGGAUGACUCUAAAGCCUGGUUCACCUCUCUUGCUCCUGGAUGUGUGUGUAGUCCCCAAGAGAUGGUCUAUAACUUCUGUGAGAAAUAUUUCCCUGCCCAUAUAAAGAUACUAGCAAGUAUGCAAGCUCCAGUGAUCCUUCAAUGGACUGGUGCAAGCAUCUCGGAGUUGUAAUAUACACUUUGAUGAGAUCAAAGAUUUUGGGUUUGUACAAAGUUUAUGAGAAACUUGUAUUUCCAAAGAAGUGAGUGGGAGCACUAUAGAAUUCCUGAUAAGUAUAUGUGGGUGACAUAUUGUGGAUCAGAAGUAAUGUAGAAUUUCUGUAAAGCAUUCAAGGUUGUUUGAAAGGAGUUUUCAAAGGAAUACCUGGAUUGCGCUACUUGAACGUUGAGCAUCAAAGAUCUAUGGAGAUAGAUCGAAAGCGCUUAAUGGAAGUUUCAACAAGAUGCAUGCCUUGACAAGUUUUUGAAGGAGUUCAAAAUAGAUCAGCAAAGAAGGAGUUCUUGGUUGCGUUGUGAGGUGUGAAUUUGAGUAAGACUCAAAACCCGACCACGGCAGAAUAAAGAGAAUAGACGAAGGUCGUCUUCUAUGCCUUAGCCGUAGAAUCUAAAGUAUGCCAUGCUGUGUACCGCACCUGAUGUGUGCCUUGACUCAAAGUAUGUUGAGAGGUACAGAGAGUGAUCCAUGAUUGAAUCACUAGCAGCGGUCGAAAUUUAUCCUUAGUAACUAAUGGACUAAGGAAUUUUUCUCGAUUAUGGAGGUGGUUAAAGAGUUUGUCGUAGAGGGUUACGUCAAUGCAAGCUUUGACACUAAUCCGAAUAACUAUGAGUCGUGAAACGGAUUCGUAUANNNNNNNNNNNNNNNNNNNNNNNNNNNNNNNNNNNNNNNNNNNNNNNNNNNNNNNNNNNNNNNNNNNNNNNNNNNNNNNNNNNNNNNNNNNNNNNNNNNNUAUACGAAUCCGUUUCACUACUCAUAGUUAUUCGGAUUAGUGUCAAAGCUUGCAUCGACGUAACCCUUUACGAUGAACUCUUUAACCACCUCCAUAAUCGAGAAAAAUUCCUUAGUCCAUUAGUUACUAAGGAUAAAUUUUGACCGCUGCUAGUGAUUCAAUCAUGGAUCACUCUCUGUACCUCUCAACAGACUUUGAGUCAAGGCACACAUCAGGUGCGGUACACAACAUGGCAUACUUUAGAUUCUUCGGCUAAGGCAUAGAAGACAACCUUCGUCUAUUCUCUUUAUUCUGCCGGGGUCGGGUUUUGAGUCUUACUCAAAUUCACACCUCACAACGCAACCAAGAACUCCUUCUUUGUUGAUCUAUUUUGAACUCUUUCAAAAACUUGUCAAGGCAUGCAUCUUGUUGAAACUUCUAUUAAGCGCUUUCGAUCUAUCUCCACAGAUCUUUGAUGCUCAACGUUCAAGUAGCGUAAUCCAGGUACUCAUCAGGUGUGGUACACAGCUUGGCAUACUUUAGAGUCUACGGCUAAGGCAUAGGGGACGACCUUCGUCCUUUCUCUUUCUUCUGCCGUGGUCGGGCUUUUGAGUCUUACUCAUAUUCACACCUUACAACACAGCCAAGAACUCUUUCUUUGCUGAUCUAUUUUGAACUCCUUCAAAAACUUGUCAAGGCAUGCAUUUCAUUUGAAAGUUCUGUUUAGCAUUUUGAUCUAUCUCCAUAGAUCUUGACGCUCAAUGUUCAAGUAGCUCUAUCCAGGUUUUCCUUUGAAAAAAACCCUUUCAAACAACAUUUUAUGCUUCACAGAAAUUCUACAUCACUUCUGAUCAACAAUAUGUCAACCACAUAUAUUUAUCAGAAAUUCUAUAGUGCUCCCACUCACUUCUUUGGAAAUACAAGUUUCUCAUAAACCUUGCACAAACCCAAAAGCUUUGAUCAUCUCAUCAAAGCGUAUAUUCCAACUCCGAGAUGCUUGCACCAGUCCCUAAGAGGAUCGUUGGUGCUUGCAUACUUUUUAGUAUCCUUAGGAUCGACAAAACCUUCUGAUUGUAUCACAUACAAUCUUUCCUCAAGGAAACCGUCGAGGAAACAAUGUUUUGACUUCCUAUGUGCAAUAUUUCACAAAUAAUGCAGCUACUACUAACAUAAUUCCAACAGACUUUUAGCAUCGCUACGAGUGAGAAAGUCACAUCAUAGUCAAUUCUUUGAUCUUGUCAAAAACAUCUUUGCGAAAAGUCGAGCUUUUCUUAAUAGUGACUUAUCACCAUCAUCGUCUGUCUUCCUUUUAAAGAUCCAUCUUUACUUAAUAGUCUUACUACCAUCACGUAGUUCGUCCAAAGUCUACACUUUGUUUUAUACAUGGAUCCUCUCUUGGAUUUCAUGGCCUCCAGUCAUUUGUCGGAAUUCGGGCCCACCAUUGCUUCUCCAUAACUCAUAGGUUCAUUGUUGUUCAACAACAUGACCUCCAAGACAGGGUUACCGUACCACUCUGUAGUAGUACGCGACCUUUGUCGACCUACGAGGUUUGUAGUAGCUUGAUCCGAAGCUCUAGUGAUCAGCAUCAUCAGCUUCCACUUCAAUUGGUGUAGGCGCCACAGGAACAUCUUCCUGUGCCCUGCUACACACUGUUUGAAGUGACGGUUCACUAACCUCAUCAAGUUCCACCACCCUCCCACUCAAUUCUUUCGAGAGAAACCUUUCCUAGAGAAAGGACCCGUUUCUAGAAAGAAACACUUUGCUUCCGGUUCUGAGAUAAGAGAUGUAUCUAAUUGUUCUGGAUAUCCUAUGAAGAUGCAUUUAUCCGCUUUGAGUUCGAGCUUAUCAGACUGAAACUUUUUCACAUAAGCGUCGCUGCCCCAAACUUUUAAGAAACGACAGUUUAGGUUUCUCCAAACCAUAGUCUAUACUGUGUCAUCUUAACGGAAAUACACGGUGCCCUAUUUAAAGUGAAUGUGGUUGUCUCUAAUGUAUAACCCGUAAACGAUAGUGGUAAUUCGAUAAGAGACAUCAUAGUAUGCACCAUAUCAAAUAGGGCGUGGCUAUGACGUUCAGACACAUCAUCACACUAUGGUGUUCCAGGUGGCAUGAACUGCGAAACAAUUUUUACUUUGUCCUAACUGCGUACGAAAAACUCGUAACUCAGAUAUUCAUCUCUAUGAUCAUAUCGUAGACAGUUUAUCCUCUUGUCACGACGAUCUUCACUCUGAAAUUGCUUUGAACUUUUCAAUAUAUUAGAUUUGUGAUUCAUCAAGUAAAUACUCGUGUAUCUACUCAAACCGUCAGUGAAGUAAGAACAUAACGAUAUCCACUACGUGCCUUAGCACUCAUUGGACUGCACACAUCAAAAAUAGAUUACUCCCAACAAGUUACUCUCUUGUUUCAUGUGGCAUGUUUUGUAUGUCUCAAGUGAUUCAAAAUCAAGUGAGUCCAAACGAUCCAUCUCUAUAGAGUUUCUUCAUGCAUUUAUACCAACAGGUAUGGUUUGCAUGUCUCAAACGUUUCAAAAAAUGAGUGAGUACAAAGAUCCAUCAGAACGGAGCUUCUUCAUGCAUUUUAUACCAACAUGACUCAAGUGGCAGUGCCACAACUAAGUGGUACUAUCAUUAUUACUUUGUAUCUUUUGGCACCAAUAUUAUGAACAUGUGUAACACUACGAUUGAGAUUCAAUAAACCAUUGAAGGGUAAUUAUUCAAGCAAAUAGAACAACUAUUAUUCUCUUUGAAUGAAUAAUCGUAUUGCAAUAAACACGAUCCAAUCAUGUUCAUGCUCGACACAAAUACCAAAUAACAAUUAUUUUGGUUUUACCACCAAUCCUGAUGAUAGAGGGAGCGUGCGGUGUUUGCUCACAUCAACCUUGGAAACACUUCCAACACUUAUCGUCACCUCGGCUUUAGCUAGUCUCCGUUUAUACCAUAGCUUUCAUUUCGAGUUACUAAUCACUUAGCAACCGAACCGGUAUCCAAUACCCUUGUGCUACUAGAAGUACUAGUAAAGUACACAUCAAUAUCAUGUAUAUCAAAUAUACUUCUGUCGACUUUUACCAGCCUUCUUAUCUAUCAAUUAUCUAGGGUAGCUCCGCCUCAGUGACCGUUCCCCUCAUAACAGAAGCACUUAGUCUCGGGUUUGGGUUCAAUUUUGGGUUUCGUCAUUAGAGCAGCAACUGGUUUGCCGUUUCAUGAAGCAUCCCUUCUAGCCCUUACCCUUCUUGAAACUAGUGGUUUUACUAACCAUCAACAAUUGAUGCUCCUUCUUGAUUUCUACUUUCGCAAUGUCAAACAUUGCGAAUCACUCAAGGAUCAUCAUAUCUAUCCUUGAGAUGUUUAUAGUUCAUCACGAAGCUCUAACAUCUUAGUGGCAAUGACUUUGGAGAACCAUCACUAUCUCAUCUCGAAGAUUAACUCCCACUUGAUUCAAGCGAUUGUUGUACUCAGACAAUCUGAGAACAUGCUCAACGAUUUGAGCUUUUCUCCUUUACUUUGUAGGCAAAGAAUCUUGUCGGAGGUCUUAUACCUCUCAACAAGGUCACGAGCAUGAAAUCUCAAUUUCAUCUCCUUGAACAUCUCUUAUGUUCUGCGAUGUUUUCAAAACGUCUUCGGUGCCUUGCUUCUAAGCCAUUAAGUAUUGCGCACUGAACUAUUAUGUAGUCAUCAAAGACGUGUAUGUGAGAUGUUCGCAACAUUCACAGACGACACCCGAGGUGCAGCACACAGAUACUUCCAUUUUGCAUCAUGCUUUCAUGUUGAUAUUUAUCGCUUUUUGGGAUGUUAUAUUACGUUGUGGUACCAUACUUAUGCCUUUUCUCUUUAUUUUGCAAGGUUUAUUUGAAGAGGGAGAAUACCGACAGCUAGAAUUCUGGACUUGAAAAGGAGCAAGUCUGAGUCCUCUAUUCUGCACAAAUCCAAAUGCCCUGAAAAUCAACGUGGAAUUUUUUGGGAAUAUGUAAAAAAUAUUGGGCGAAAGAAGUACCAGAGGGGAGCUACUAGGGCCCCACAAGCCUGGUAGCCGCCACCCCCUAGUGGCGGCUACAGGGCUUGUGGGCUCCCUGACGGCCCACUGGCCCCCUCUUUUGCUAUAUGAAGGAUUUCGUUCUAGAAAAAAAUCAAGGAGGAGCUUUUUCGUGGUUUCGUCGCCGCCACGAGGCGGAGCUUGAGUAGAUCCAAUCUAGAGCUCCGGCAGGACGAUCCUGCCGGAGAAACUUCCCUCCGGAAGGGGGAAAUCGUCGCCAUCGUCAUCACCAACACUCCUCUUGUCGGAGGGUAGUCAUCUCCAUCAACAUCUUAAUCAACACCAUCUCCUCUCCAAUCCCUAGUUCAUCUCUUGUAACCAAUCUCCAUAUCGCGACUCCGAUUGGUACUUGUAAGGUUGCUAGUAGUGUUGAUUACUCUUUGUAGUUGAUGCUAGUUGGAUUACUUGGUGGAAGAGUUUAUGAUUAGAUCCUUGAUGCUAUUCAUUACACAUCUGAUCAUGCUUAUGAUUAUGCUUUGUGAGUAGUUAAUUUUGUUCCUGAGAACAUGGGAUAAGUCAUGUUGAUAAUAGUCAUGUGAAUUUGGUAUUCGUUCGGUAUUUUGAUAUGAGGUAUGUUGUCUUUUCCUCUAGUGGUGUUAUGUGAACGUCGACUACAUAAGACUUCACCAUAUUUGGGCCUAGAGGAAGGCAUUGGGGAGUAGUAAGUAGAUGAUGGGUUGCUAGAGUGAUAGAAGCUUAAACCCCAGUCUAUGCGUGCUUCGUAAGGGGCAGAUUUGGAUCCACUAGUUUAAUGCUAUGGUUAGACGUUGUCUUAAUUCUUAUUUCGUAGUUGCGGAUGCUUGCAAGAGGGGUGAAUCAUAAGUGGGAUUCUUGUCCAAGUAAGGGCAGUACCCAAGCGCCGGUCCACCCACAUAUCAAACUAUCAAAGUAACGAACGCGGAUCACAUAAACAUGAUGAAACUAGCAUGACAGAAAUUCCCGUGUGUCCUCGGGAGCGUUUUUCCUCCUAUAAGACUAUGUUCAGGCUUGUCCCUUGCUACAAAAGGGAUCGGGCAACUUGCUGCACCGUUGCUACUACUUGUUACUUGUUACUUUUCGCUUGCUACGUUUCACCUUGCUACACCAUCACUUGUUACCGCUACUUUCAGUGCUUGCAGUUAUUACCUUGCUGAAAACUGUUUAUCAGAGCCUUCUACUCCUCGUUGGGUUCGACACUCUUACUUAUCGAAAGGACUACGAUUGAUCCCCUAUACUUGUGGGUCAUCAAGACUCUUUUCUGGCACCGUUGCCGGGGAGUGAAGUGCCUUUGGUAAGUGGAAUUUGGUAAGGAAACAUUUAUAUACUGUGCUGAAAUUUAUUGUCACUUGUCACUAUGGAAACUGUUCCUUUGAGGAGUUUGUUCGGGGUAUCUUCACCACGAACGGAAGCACGAGGAGUUGUUCCUCAAUCUGAGGUACCUACUGAAAAUAUCUUUUAUGAAAUUCCUUCGGGUAUGCUUGAGAAACUGCUGGCUAAUCCUUUUACAUGAGAUGGAUCUUCACAUCCAGACUUGCAUCUGAGCUAUGUAGAUGAAGUUUGUGGUUUAUUUGAGCUUGCAGGUUUGCCCGAGGAUGAGGUAAAUAAGAAAGUCUUUCCUUUAUCUUUCAAGGAUAAGGCAUUGACAUGGUAUAGGCUAUGUGAUGAUACUGGAUCAUGGGACUAAAUCGGUUGAAAUUGGAAUUUCAUCAAAAGUUCUAUCCUAUGCAUUUAGUACAUCGUGAUCGGAAUUAUAUUUAUAACUUUUGGCCUCGUGAGAGGGAAAGCAUAGCUCAAGCUUGGGGGAGGCUUAAAUCAAUGUUAUAUUCAUGCCCCAAUCAUGAGCUCUCAAGAGAAAUUAUCACUCAAAACUUUUAUGCUCGGCUUUCUCAUGAAGAUCGUACCAUGCUUGAAACUUCUUGUACCGGUUCUUUUAUGAAGAAGGAUAUUGAACACAAGUGGAAUUUAUUGGAAAGAAUCAAACGUAACUCUUAAGAUUGGGAGCUAGAAGAAGGUAAGUAGUCAGGUAUGAAUUUCCAGUUUGAUUGCGUUAAAUCUUUUGUUGAAAGAAACACUUCUAGAGAUUUUAGCGCUAAGUAUGGACUUGACUCUGAGAUAGUAGCUUCUCUAUGUGAAUAUUUUGCUGCUCAUGUUGAUAUUCCCAAAGAAAAGUGGUUUAAAUAUCAUCCUCCUGUAGAAGUCAACAUAGCUAAAACCAAUCUAGUUGAGGAGAAAGUCAUUGCUUUUAGUGAUCCUGUUGUUCCUUGUGCCUACGCUGAGAAACCACCUUACCCUGCUAGGAAAAAGGAUUAUUCUAAAGCUCCAACUGUGAUACGUAGGGGUUACACUAGACCACUUGCACCCCCUGAGGAAAUUAGAGUUGAACCUAGUGUUGCUAUUAUGAAAGAUCUCUUAGCCGAAGACAUAGACGGGCAUGUUAUCAAAUUCUGUGACGACUCCGCUAGAAUUGCUAAACCUCACGCGAAAGGCAAAUACAGACCUGUAGUUGGCCUGCCCGUUGUUUCUGUCAAGAUAGGAGAUCACUGUUACCAUGGUUUAUGUGAUAUGGGUGCUAGUGUUAGUGCAAUACCCCGUUCCCUAUAUGAUGAAAUCAAAGAUGAGAUUGCACCUGCUGAGUUAGAACCCAUUGAUGUCACUAUUACGCUAGCUAAUAGAGACACUAUCUGCCCUAUGGGAAUUGUGAGAGACGUAGAAGUCAUGUGUGGUAGGACGAAGUAUCCUACUGAUUUCCUCGUCCUUGCUACUGCACAAGAUAGCUUUUGUCCCAUCAUAUUUGGUAGACCCUUUCUCAACACUGUCAAUGCUCACAUUGAUUGCAUUAAGCAGACUGUCACUGUUAGUUUCGAGAGUGUGUCUCAUGAAUUUAACUUCUCCAAGUUUGGAAGACAACCCCAUGAAAAAGAGUCGUCUGGUAGGGAUGAAAUCAUUGCUCUUGCCUCUAUUUCCGUACCUCAUACGGAUCCGUUAGAGCAAUAUCUGCUUGAGCAUGAAAAUGAUAUGCAUAUGGAUGAAAGAUAUGAGAUAGAUAAAAUUGUCUUAGUGCAAUAUCCUAUUCUCAAGAAUAAUCUGCCUGUUGAACUGCUUGGGGGUCCUCCCCCACCGAAGGGUGAUCCUGUGUUCGAGCUUAAACAGUCACCAGAUACUCUUAAGUAUGCCUAUCUUGAUGAGAAGGAGAUAUAUCCCGUUAUUAUUAGUUCCCACCUCUCGAAUCACGAAGAGAAGAAGUUACUAAAAACUUUGAGGAAGCAUCGUGAGGCUAUUGGAUAUACUCUUGAUGAUCUUAAGGGUAUUAGUCCCACUCUAUGUUAGCACAAGAUUAAAAUUGAUCCUGACUUCAAACCAGUUGUUGAUCAUCAAAGGAGAUUAAAUCCUAAGAUGAAAGAGGUCGUGAGAAAAGAAAUAUUAAAGCUUCUCGAAGCAGGAAUCAUUUAUCCUGUUGCUCAUAGUGAUUGGGUAAGUCCAGUACAUUGCGUGCCCAAGAAGGGAGGUAUCACCGUCGUUCCUAAUGAUAAGAAUGAAUUAAUCCCACAAAGGAUUAUUACUGGCUAUAGGAUGGUGAUAGACUUCCGGAAACUGAACAAGGCAACCAGGAAAGACCAUUAUCCUUUGCCGUUUAUCGACCAAAUGCUAGAAAGGCUAUCCAAACACACACACUUUUGAUUUCUAGACGGUUAUUCAGGUUUCUGGCAAAUACCUGUUGCACAAUUUGAUCAGGAGAAAACCACUUUCACCUACCCCUUCGGUACCUUUGCUUAUAAACGUAUGCCUUUUGGCUUAUGCAAUGCACCUGCCACCUUUCAAAGAUGUAUGAUGGCUAUAUUCUCUGACUUUUGUGAAAAGAUUGUCGAGGUUUUCAUGGAUGACUUCUCCGUUUACGGGUCUUCCUUUGAUGAUUGCCUCAGCAACCUUGAUCGAGUCUUAUAGAGAUGCAAAGAUACCAACCUCGUCUUGAAUUGCGAGAAGUGCCACUUUAUGGUUAAUGAAGGCAUCGUCUUAGGACACAAAAUUUCUGAAAGAGUCAUUGAAGUUGAUAAGGCUAAGGUUUAUGCAAUUGAGAAAAUGUCUUGCCCCACAGAUAUCAGAGGUAUACGAAAUUUCCUAGGUCAUGUUGGUUUCUAUGGAAGGUUCAUUAAAGACUUCUCUAAGAUUUCUAGGCCUCUUAACCAACCUCUUGCAGAAGGAUGUUCCUUUUGUUUUUGAUGAGGAUUGUGAGGAAGCUUUCAAAAUACUUAAGAAGGCCUUGAUAACCGCACCUAUUGUUCAACCACCUGACUGGAACUUGCCCUUUGAAAUCAUGUGCGACGUUAGUGAUUAUGUUGUUGGUGCUGUUCUAGGACAAAGAGUUGACAAGAAGUUGAAUGUUAUUCACUAUGCUAGUAAAACUCUAGACAGUGCCCAAAGAAACUAUGCCACUACGGAAAAGGAGUUUUUAGCAGUCGUGUUUGCAUGUGAAAAGUUCAGAUCUUAUAUAGUUGACUCCAAAGUCACUAUUCACUCUAAUCAUGAUGCUAUUAAGUACCUUAUGGAGAAGAAGGACGCUAAGUCUAGGCUAAUCAGAUGGGUUUUCCUGCUACAGGAAUUUGAUUUGCACGUUGUUGACCGAAAGGGUGCUGAUAACCCUGUAGCAGAUAACUUGUCCAGGCUAGAGAAUGUCCUUGAUGACCCACGACCUAUUGAUGACAGCUUUCCCGUGAGCAAUUAAAUUUCAUCCGCACUUCACAUAGUGCACCGUGGUAUGCUGAUUACGCAAAUUAUAUCGUAGCCAAAUACAUACCACCCAGUUUCACCUACCAGCAAAAGAAGAAAUUCUUCUUUGAUUUGAGACACUACUUUUGGGAUGAUCCUCACCUUUAUAAGGAAGGAGUAGAUGGUGUUAUUAGACGUCGUGUGCCUGAACAUGAACAGGGACAGAAGCUCCAGAAGUGUCAUUCCGAAGCCUACGGAGGACACCAUGCUGAAGAUAGAACUGCUCAUAAGGUAUUGCAAUCAGGUUUGUAUUGGCCCACUCUCUUCAAGGAUGCCCGUAAGUUUGUCUUGUCUUGUGACGAAUGCCAAAGAAUAGGGAACAUCAGUAAGCGUCAGGAAAUGCCUAUGAACUAUUCACUUAUCAUUGAACCGUUUAAUGUCUGGGGCUUUGAUUAUAUGGGACCCUUCCCGAGUUCCAAUGGGUACACUCACAUCUUAGUUUCUGCGGAUUACGUCACUAAGUGGGUAGAAGCUAUACCCACUAGAAAUGCUGAUCACCACACCUCUAUUAAGAUGCUUAAAGAAGUCAUUUUCCCAAGAUUUGGAGUCCCUAGAUAUCUGAUGACUGAUGGCGGCUCACACUUCAUUCAUGGUAUUUUUCGCAAGAUGCUUGCUAAGUAUGAUGUCAACCAUAUAGUUGCAUCUCCUUAUCAUCCUCAGUCUAGUGGUCAAGUGGAGUUGAGUAAUAGGGAGAUCAAAUUGAUCUUACAAAAGACUGUCAAUAGAUCUCGGAAGAAUUGGUCUAGUAAACUUGACGAUGCACUAUGGGCUUAUAGGACUGUUAUAAGAAUUCCAUGGGCAUGUCGCCGUAUAAAAUGGUUUACGGUAAGGCCUGUCAUUUACCUCUUGAGCUAGAACACAAAGCUUAUUGGGCAAUCAAAGAGCUCAACUUCGAUUUCAAACUUGCCGGUGAGAAGCGGUUGUUUGAUAUCAGCUCAUUAGAUGAAUGGAGGGCCCAGGCAUAUGAGAAUGCCAAGUUGUUCAAGGAAAAGGUUAAGAGAUAGCACGAUAAAAGAAUACAGAAACGAGAGUUCAAUGUAGGUGAUUAUGUCCUGCUAUACAAUUCUCGUUUAAGAUUAUUCGCAUGCAAGCUUCUCUCUGAAUGGGAAGGUCCUUACGUUGUCAAGGAAGCAUAUCGUUCCGGUGCCAUCAAAAUCAAUAACGCGGAAGGAAAUUUUCCUAGAGUGGUAAAUGGGCAAAGAAUCAAGCAUUAUAUCUCCGGUACUCCCAUAAAUGUUGAGACCAAUAUCAUCAAUAUCAUAACUCCAGAGGAGUACAUAAGGGAUGUUUAUCAGCCUGUUUCAGACCCUGAAAACGAAGAGGUAUCUAUUUCGGUAAGUAAUUGGACUCCGAAGCUUUUCCAAUAGGAAAUUUCCUCUGUCUUGGAAUUUAUGGGAAAUUAGAAAAAUAAAAAGCAGUCCGGAGAGCGCACGAGGAGGCCACAAGCUUGGUAGCCGCCACCCCCUGGCUGUGGCUACAAGGCUCGUGGGCACCUCGUGUGCCUCUCGGACUCCGUUUUCUUGCGGAGCACUCCUUCUGUUCCAGAAAAAAUCAUUAUAUAUACGCCCGAGGGUUUUGAUCUCCGUAUCGUGCAGUUUUCCUCUGUUUUCGUUUCGAGCCUGUUUCUGUUGCAGAUCUAGAUGGUCAUGACUUCCCCAAACGCUCCUAAGGACAAGAUCUUCGAGAAGGUCAUCAAUCCCUAUCUCACGGAAGUGCUGAAACACCCUCAAUCUAUCAAGAUGAGCGAGGGGAUGUUGCACAUCCAUGAUGUUGAGGGGCCUAAGAAGACCGGAAGCAUGGAGACGAGGCUCGAAGCAAUGGAGCAACAAGUCUUCAAGUGCCAAGGGAUGGUGGAGCGUGGACUCAACGCCAACCACAUGAUGAUCAAGGAGUUCACCAGCACUCACAAGAUGGAUGCCAUUGACAUUGGGAAGCACCUCUCUAGGCUCUAUGACAGGGUUGAUCAACUUCAGAGCCAGAUCUAUGACCUGCAAAAGCAAAACUGUGAGUAUGAGUAUAGAUUUAAAUCAAUAAGGUUGGCUGCAGAUUUGAGGAUUCCGGCGACUCGUUCAUCCUGCCAUGAUGGAGCACCUAUGCCUUGGAAGACGGAGGAUAAGACUACUCCAACAACUUCACCACCAUCACCACCAAAAGAAGACAACUAAGCAUUGGUAUGGGAAAUCCCCUUGGCUUUUGCCAAGCUUGGGGGAGUUGCCUUGGUAUCGUAUCACCUUUAUAUCUUUUGCUUUUACCUUUGUUUUAGUUCUUUCCUUUUUAGUUUUUAUUUCUUCUCUUAGUGGAAUAAGUCUUUAGUGUUUAGUUUGAGUCUUUUGCUUUGUGUCUCCCCCAAUGUAUUCGAGCUUGCAAGCUAUAUAAUAAGGAGUAUCUUAGUCAAGGGCUUUGUUUUGUGCCCUGAUCAAAAGUAUGAAAAGAAUGAUAGCAUGAAAGAUCAUGAGAUGAUCUUAUGGAAAGUGAUAGCUUCACAUAUGACAAGUAUGAUAAUUGAAACUUGUUGAUAAUAAAUCAACAUAGACCUCAGUCAUUGUUGCAAUUAAUAAGAAUUAAUAAGGAAAGAGAGGUUCACAUAUAAAUAUAUCAUCUUAGACACCUUCUAUAAUUGUGAGCAUUCACCAAACUAUUACAUGCUUAGAAGUAGAUGUUGGACAAGGAAGACAACAUAAUGAAUUGUGUUUGCUUGAUUCCAAACAAUGUUACAUGAUUAGAGAUCCCUUAGCAUGUGACGUUUGCUUCCCCCUCAUAUCAGCCAAAACUCCCGCACCAAGUAGAGAUACUACUAGUGUAUCCAUAAACCUUCAACCCAGUUUUGCCAUGAGUGUCCACCAUACCUACCUAUGGAUUGAAUAAGAUCCCUCAAGUAAGUUGUCAUCGGUGCAAGCAAUAAAAAUUGCUCUAUAAUAUGUAUGAUCUAUUAGUGUGUGGAAAAUAAGCUUUAUACGAACCUGUGAUGAGGAAGACAUAAAAGCGAGAGACUGUAUAAUAAAGUUCUUUAUCACAUGAGGCAAUAUAAAGUGACGUUCCUCCGCACUAAGAGGACACACAUCCAAACCUCAAAAGCGCAUGACAACCUCUGCUUCCCUCUGCGAAGGGCCUAUCUUGUACCUUUAAUUUUUGCCCUUGAAGGAGUCAUGGUGAUCUUCACCAAUUCCUUAUUUUGCCUUUGUCUUGGCUACCGUCACAUGCUUGGGAAAGAUCUAUAUUCAUAUAUCAACUUGGAGAUGAGUACUUAUGCUUUAUUAUUGCUAACUUUACCCGUGAGGAAAAUGGUUGGGAGGCAAAACUAUAAGCCCCUAUCUUCCUCUGUGUCCAGCUGAAACUUUGAUACCAUGGGUACCACGUGAGUUGUAACAAUUGUGGAAAACAAAAGAGAUGAUUGAGUAUGUGGGUUUGCUUUACAAGCUCUUAUUUGACUCUUUUUGAUGUUAUGAUAAAUUGCAAUUGCUUCAAUGACUAUGGACUGUUGUUGGCUACUUCUCGGUAAGGUUUUUGCUUCAUACUUUGCUUUGUGAAGAAAUUGUUACUUUCCCAUAAGAAUCUUUAUGAUGUAUUGUUGUUCUAUGUGUGAUCAUGAUGCCCCCAUGUCCGUAUUAUGUUUUAUCGACACCUUCAUCCCUAAACAUGUGGACAUGUUUAUGGAACUUGGUUUUCGCUUGAGGACAAGCGAGGUCUAAGCUUGGGGGAGUUGAUACGUACAUUUUGCAUCAUGCUUUCAUGUUGAUACUAGUAGAAUGCCCGUGCGUUGCUACGGCCUUUUAAUGUUUGAUCUGAUGACAUAUAUAUUUCCAUGUCGUUACAUACAACUCGAUGAAUUCUUUACCAUGUCGAACAACAUUGUGUGGGGACCAUUGUUGAUGGUCUUUUUAAACGUCAACCUAAUCCAUCUUCGCCUCUCUCAUACUCUGCAAAAAUAAAUAUAUAUAGAAAUGCACCUUUUGUAUUAUCUGUGCAACAGCUUUACUAUUGCUCCUGCGCAUUUUUCACCUCUUUUCUUUUAAAAUAGUCAAUUGCACAUGUGUUACAAGCAGGACAUAUAUAUUCUAAUGAUUUAUUCCUAAAAAUAAAAAUCUAAUGAUUCAACAACCGUAUAUGACAUAGGCUUUUAUAAACCCCGCGACAAGUGUGGUGAGCAAUCGUCAAAUCAUUAAAAAGAGACAUACAUCUUUAUACACGCAAUCUAAUUAUCAAAAUAAAAAAUGUACAGCGAGCAUAGAAACAUGUACUACCCAUUCAUAUGAAGAUAAAGAUACAUAUUCUCCACAUUUUUCUCAUAAUUCCUUACCACCAUCUCCUUCCAAGAAAAGAAAACAACAUUUUUAUCCUUAACCCUACUUCCCUUUCAUUUUUUAUUCUCCUCAUUCACCCUAACUCUAUAGCAUUGUCCUCACUUUAGAAGUUUUUCAUCUCAUCUUGCAACCUUUUGAAACUUCAGCAACUCUAGCAAUAGUCUCAGCUUGCCAUUUGCUCAGCAUUGCCACCACUUCAGAAAUUUGUCAUCCCACCUUGGAACAUUUUAAAACUUUAUCAAAUCUACAAAAUGGCUGAAACUUACCACCUCCUCAUUUAUGCUUCCUCAGUUGAUCCAUAGAUGAUCCUGAAUGAAUAUUUAUUAUCUUAUUUCUUAGUAUUUAACUGUAAAUAGUCUAUGGCAAGUUGCCAUCGAAACAGAUUAUUCCACUAACUAAGCUGCAAAUAUGCAAGACUCAAAAUUAUUCCACUAACUAACUUGCUUGCGAUCAACAUUAGUAUCCAACAUCAUCCUUUCUGGUUCAAAACAUUGAGCAUCUACCUAGUGACCAUAUGAUGCAUGUGGGGAGCAUUGAGCUUCGUUUCGGCACCAGUGAUGCUCGUGGUCCUCUUCCACCAUGGCCAUACACUCUGCAUAUAGUACCAUCUACCACAUUGUAGUAUUAGAUUUCAUCAGAACCCUUGCAACUUCUAGGUCCAACAAGAAAGCAGAGGCAAACUUCUUGCUGCAAUUAUGUUCAUGCACGUGGAACAAAUAGUACAUGGUAUUAACUCUUCUGGGUGCGCUUAAAAAUUAAGUUACCAGAGACUCUUCACCAUACGUCUCUUGAAUAUUAUUGUAGGUACCAAGGUACACACUAAUGAUUCUCACACAUACAAUAAAGUUCGCACCGGUUUUUUCCAACUCUAGCUCAGGGAUAUGUACAAUUGUUAGCAUGCCCCAAACUUAUGCAACGAUAACAAUCAGCAAGCCGUUGCUGCCCUCAAGUUUAACUCCUCUCCACGCAUCAGAUAUUUUCCCAAUUGAGCAACGGACUUAUCACAAAAAUAGAAUUUUCUACCAAAACAGUAUUUGAGCCCAUGAUACCAAGUAUGCAUACACAAAAUGAAAGAAACAAGCAAUACGCUUGUUAACAGUGCAGACCUUCUACUCAAGGUGGUAGAGGAGCCGCAUAAGGUGCCAGCAGCAAGCACACCCCCGCACCGUCAUCUACACCUUCCUCUCCUGUCCUCACAUUCACAACUACAACCAAGAAUAGCAACAAAGUCACCCUCUUCGUUCUCAAAAGUAAGGAAAAUAAAACAAUUUUGAGACGGUGGACAACUGACCUUCUUGUCGAGCUUGAUCUUUCUCAUCCCACGUAAUCCAUGUCAGAUCGCCACCGCUUCCCGAAAAAUCAGCAACCUCCUUGCUCUCCCCACCUCCUAAUAUUAAAAUAUCGACAUGAUAGCAGCAACAACACAGGGAGGGUCUUGAGAAUGAAGUGCCAUGUUCAUACCGAAGGAAAAUAAUCAUGCUCAAAUAGAAAGAUAUGAAUUAUUAGUAGAAGGAAGACACCUAUUAUAGCAUGCAUAACUAUUCAGUAUGAUCGCAAUGGUGAAUAAAAUUGACAAAUACUUUAUGGGAGGGGGAAGAACGACCACGGAAAAGAGGUGACGGUGAUGGUCGGUUGUGGGCUCAGUUUUGUUGAGGCUACGAUAACUUCCAAUAGCGAGACUUGAAGCCAUGCAUGGUGAUCGUGGAGUCCGUCUAUUUGAGUCGGCGCACGCGUCCAUCAAACCCGUACACAACUACAUGAUUUGGAGGGAGUGACUGGCCAGCCACCACCAGAGCACUUGGUGGUAAACAAUAAAUCAAUAUCUUCCUCUCGCGCGAUUAGAAAGUUAGCGUAUUCCAAAAACAAAAGAAACAAGGCUAAAAAUGAACUGCUUGAACUCCUCUACCAAGAAUAAGCGGUCAUAGAAAGUCCAUUGCUGGCACCUCACUUCUUCUAUCAAAAUGUGUUCAACUACAUUAAUGUUUCAAAAUUGCAAGUGUACUCAUAGGUGAAAAUUGAAAUUUUCUACGAUGGACAUGUAAAACAGUCUAGGUGAAUUAGGGAAAGUCGGUAGCACAACGAAUGAAUAACCAAGCUGACAACACAAAUAAUGAUUAACUAAGUUGAUAGCACAAACAAAAGUAACCACUGAUAGCAAAGAACAAUAUGAUCUACGAGUACAUGAGGAAGAAAUAUGUAAAAAAUAAUGGUAGCUAUCUGACUGUUUAAGCAGUUCAUCUCAAGGGCAGACAUAGUCAGUAAACAAAUUGGUGAAAAGAAGACUGAAGUUGUACCGUAAUUCAUCCAUGGCAGCUAUGUAGGAUGCAUUAUGAUGUGGUUCACUCCGAAAGAGGCUCCCUAUCCAAUCCAAAACCUGAAAUCGAUUAAUUACUCAACGCCAGAUAAUCAAUGUACCACUACAUGGUACCAUGAAUCCAUAAUAACUAAUUAAUCUACAACAAUUCUAGACAUCAUUGACACUUAGACGUUGUAAAACCAAAUUACAGAUAGAUUUUCAGAUUAACCCGAGUCUAUAACCUUAUACGCACUACCACAUUCGAUGAACGGCGAAACAAUGUUCAGCACUACCACAUAUAUUGUGAAUCUUCCCUGAACUUUUCAGUUU
rnacentral:lncRNA from 1 species